CUAGUUCAAGUGGAAGCAGCAGCGGCAGCGGGAGCGGAAGCGGAAGCGGGAGCGGCAGCAGCACCAGUGGUAGUGACGGCAGUGAUGGCGAUUCACCCAGCUCCGGAGGGGAUGUUGAUAUAUGAGUUCGGUUUCAGGCUGCUGACCUAACUUGCUGUCUAUGAAUCGCACUUAAGGGCAUGUUUGGAUCAUGUCCUGAAGCAAGAUUGCCUGGCCUUAAGGGUGCCUGAGAUCUUGCCUGGAUUCUGCUCAAUCAUCUUAUUAUAGCCUGGCCUAAAAACUUGUCAAUGCCAUUAGCCUGCCCUGGCCAGCCAGGCAACAUGAUUAGCCUGGGCCAGGCGUCCCGUUUGACACGCCUGGUGGGCUGAUGCAUCUGCCUGGUACUAUUUUAAUAUUUCUUUUGCAUGGAAGUGAUGGACUGAUGGGUGUCCAGAGUUUUAUCUACCUAAUUGUACUGUAGUACGGCGACUAUCCACCAAACGCAUAUGAACCAGGCAAGCCUGGGCAGGCAGAAUUCUUCAACUUCUCCGGCGACAUCCAGGCAUUACUUUUUGCCAGGCAUAAGGGCCAGGCCUCGAACUAAACUGACCCUUUGUUUCCUUCGACCCAUUUCUACUCCGUACUAAACCAACAUCAAUUAAUAAUUAAUAUGGAUAGGGAGGGAGCGAUCAUUACUAAAGGAGGUACGAGUGAUGCUAUAUGGAUAGGGAGUGUAUUUCUAUCUUCCCAAUGCACUUUAAAGUAGGGAAAAAUAUUUCUCUCUUAUCACACGGUAAUCAAGACCAAUAGCAAUCUACAUAUGUUUUUUUUAAUUUCUACAUGCACUUAGCUCAUUGGGGGUUGAGUAAUUAAAGAGGAGAGAGAUGGUAGCUUGUACCUUUCCAAUGCAUUUUUUACUCAAUCCCAUAAUUUGUCCUAAAAUUUCUAAAUGUACACUCUUUACCGGACGGAGAGAAUAUGUUACUCUUCAAUGUGGCUAGUCUUAUAAGGCUCAAUUCAAAAAUCUCAUCAACCAAGGUAGAUGAUAAGUGGCGGAAUAAUUUUUGUAGUUUAUAAAAGCACUCAAUUAAUGCACUCGUUUUUCUCAAAGAAUUGUGUUUAUCAAUGUAUUAAUUAUAAUGCAUGCAUGCAUGAAGUACAUGUAUUGGUCAAUUUUCUCUUAAUCCUUGCAUGCAAUGAAUUAAUGCACCUUAAAAUUUAACAUGUUAUGUGGAACAAUGAAAUUGAGAUUUAUAAAACGGGAAACCUAAAAUUUUGAGAUAAGUCCUAUAAAUCGAAAAGGAGAGAGUAUAUCUAAGUUACAUUAUCGCUGGGCUGGACAUCUGAGCUAUCAUUUAUUUGUAACCUCAUCGAAUGUAGGUCUUCAUUGAAAUAUAUGUAAAUCAACAAUAAUCUUUUUAAAGAAAUUUGAAACUAAACUCAGUUUUUAUGACAUGGUCAAGAAAAGAAUUACGGUAGUUCAAACAGAGGGCUUCAAUGAUUUAGACAAAGGGCUUCAUGCAAAGCACACAGACACGAUUGAAGCAUAUGAUUUUAAUAGUUUGAACACGAACCAUAGUUUGCCCUAACAUGUCAGCUUAUUGGGUCAAUGUUAGGGCAUGGCCUUGAUAAAAAUGUUAUACUCAUAACCUUACCCAUGACAUGUUGGGUAGGGUUUGGACGCAACCUAUGGACUUGAAAUGAGUGCAGAUAUUGCCAGACAAGUGACUAUUUUUUUGGUAAUCUCGAGAUGGAAUUGUAGUACCUUAAAGAGCAUCUCUAGUUGCCCAAAAAAAAAAAAUCCAAUUUUUUCGCAUCCUUCGACAAACAAUAUAUGAGCUCCAACGGCUGCCCUAAACGCAAAAAAUAUGUGGUCCCGUUUUAGGGCUGCCCAAAAACCAGUCCCAAGUGAUGUAUAUUUGCAUCACCCGGCUGCGUGCCCAAACACACGAGCUCCAACAGCUGCCCUAAACGCAAAAAUAUGUGGUCCCGUUUUAGGGCUGCCCAAAAACCAGUAUUUGCAUUACGCGACUGUGCCCAAACACAAAACCGGCUGCCGACCCGCGACCUCAUGGCUGAAACUUCCAGCCGUAGCCGCGCACGUGCCUGCUUUCCUUUUCGGCACGCCGUCUUUGCCAAAUCUCCCGACUUUCAGUCGUAGUAUCGUCGUCGCCAAAUUUGCAGGCUUACGGCCACCGCCUGCCGCGGCACGCCGCGUCGUUGCAGAUCUAGCACCCCAUGCCUCUCUCUGGUUGGCGCAUUCGUCACAUCGCCGCCACCAAACUCGCAGCCCGCCGCCUCCACCGCCACGAAAUCCGAUCGCCUGCGCCCUCGCUGUCACCAAAUCAAUCGCUGUCGACGCUCACGCCGCAAAUCGACCGCCACCUCUCCUCUCUCCGACCAUCGGGAACUUCUGUUGCCGGGAUCCACCAUGCCACGCUUCGCCGACCAAGGAGCUCCACCAGCUUCCACGACAUUUGUCGACGGGACUCCGGUUAUUUCUCAGCCGAGAUCAUGUAGUAGGGCGUGUUGUAUUGGCUCAACACGUAUGACUCGUCGGACAUCGCCGCCCACGCCUUCGACAAAGCGUGUUUGCGGCUCGGACGACCAAAGCAAGACUUGAACUUCUUAGAGAUCGAAACUCAGGCAGACGCGGAGCUCAUCGGUCCCGAGAUAGAUAUGAAGACCUUCGUGGAGGAGACACAAAUUGAUGCAGAGCAUUCUACGGUCAUCCCCGUGGACCUACCUACAUCUCCCACGACACCACUUGGACCAAAGACAAGAGCUCGAGUAAAGGCUAUCGAAGAUAAGGUGAACUCGCUCCUCUUCGAACUUAUACAUUCUUCAUGUGAGACAUGGCUACUACCUCAAGCGAAGACCCUAUGCGUGAUCAGGUACUUAGAGGGAAGUCACAGAGCAACUUGUGAUGACCCGAGACCGACGCUCCAGAUGCCUUCCUUGUUUUGCGUGUCGGCUCUGUUAAUUAUUUGUUUGUUACAUUCAUCAUCACAUCAUUCACAUUGCAUAGACACUCCGUUGUCGUCAUGUUUUCAAAAGUUGCAUUCGCUCAUAGUCACCGCUUCUUCGUUGUCUCUGUUGACCUUCUCUUAGACCAGCCAGACCACUCUCUUCUCUCUCUCUUUUCUGAGCCCAUUAAACCCCUUGCCUUCGUUGACUGUUCCGAGACCAACUAGGUUUUUGAAUCCCUCUUGUCUGGCCAUUUAACCUCUCUGCACAGUGCACCGACCCCUCGCAUGCGUGUCUGAAACUUACCCGAACCUGACCCGGGCAGUCGUGAUCGAUGGGUCCGGAUCAUCCCCAAAAAUAUCUUCGCUCUCUCAGUUGGACGCCCAUAGCCUAUUUUUCUCGACCGCCUGAUUUUGACCGGAGGGUCCAAAACUUGCCCCUCCUAACCCACCUACCUAUUUAAGUAGUGCAAUCAUCAGACAAAUCCCUAAUUUCUAGGGAUCCUCCUACCCGCCGCCAGUCCGCUGUGUCCUCCUCCUUGGGAUCCCCUCCCGAUCUAGACCACCAACCAGAGCCCGCAACCACGAUCAAAAUCAACCACGAUCAAAAUCCUCCCCGACCGUCUCCCUCGUCUUGCGUGCUUGAGCAAUCAGUCGCCCGAGCCCCGUGCUCCUCCAUCCCGCCUCGUCGGCUAACGACCGGCACCGUCGCCUGCGACCAUGAGUUAAGCGCCCACGCCCUGUCUCCUUCCCCCGUUUCUCUCGUCCCCCUCUCUCUUAUUCAUCCAUGUCUCUCAGGUUUCUGAACAGGAGGGAGCCCCGUCCCCGCCAUGGAUUUGACCAUCGCCGCCGAAGCUCGACACCAUGGUCUUCUCUAUCACCGUAUAGCCAGCUAUCGAAACCCCACCAAAUCCCACGCGCAGCGCCUCCCUACUCGACCUUGUGCUCGAGGACACAUCGAGCUCCAUCCUCUCGAUCCAUGGCACCUCUGCGACGAGGCGCCCUAGUUCCGCGUGAUGUAGGGUGGAAACCCUAGGGGCCGAUCUUUCACGAAAGGAGCGGAUCCUGCGAUGAACACGAGGGGAAAUCACAAAGGGCACAAGGAGAAACACUCAAACCAACAAGAUUAAGUCACAUGUGCUAGAUCCAUGAACACAAAAGGAGAUACAAGAUCCAAAGUCAACAAGGGACGAUACAAAUGGUAACCGGUCUUCUCUGUGAGGAGGUCUUGAUGGUCUUCUCCGUGAGGAGGUCUUGAAUCCAAGUGGAUCUUCUCCGAAGAGGGGCCGCGGUCUCUCUCGUGGAGUAGAUCCGGAUGGAUGAGCGAAGCUCUAUCUCACGAAUGAGCUAACACAACGCUAACCCUAAAACGUAGGUAGGAGGAGAGUAUAUAUAGUCUAGGGGGCGAAAGGGUACAUGGGCCUCGGCCCUUUACUGUGCGCAGACAGACGGGGCCGGACGUCUGGGCCUUCGGGAGGAGCUGGAUGUUCGGGGCUGGGGCCGGAUGACCGGGCUGACGGGGCUUCUCUUCUGUCCUCUGUUUGCAGCUUGUUCGGAUAUCCGGGCGUUGGGGCCGGAUGUCUGGGGCCUGUAGAUGCUCGACGAUUGGAAUGCUGCUGUAGUUGAUGUCUCCAGCGGCCGGAUGUCCGGGCCCUGGAGCUGCCUUCUUCUCCUUUCGGCGUUCCUCUUCAUCCGUGGACUUGGCCUCUUGUCUGUCUUCAUGUGCAUCUUCGGGAGGGUCCUCUUGGUACCUAAUCAUGCACAACAUUUCGGACUUAGGUAAUAGCCAUGUCUCGAGAGGGUCAUAUGUAAUAUCACUAAGGAGAGAAGUCACCUCGGUCUCGAGAGCUCUAGCUCUAGCUCGAGUCAUAGGUCCUCUUGGCACUUCGUGAGAUGAUGGUAGGUCCAUGGGGAUGACCAUAGGAUGCUCCGCAACAUCUCCCCUCCCUUGGGAAGAUCCGACCUCGGAUCGAAAUCCUCAUCACCAUGGUAGGGCGAGAGAUCUUUGAUGUUGAAGAUGUCGCUCACGAAGUACUUGUCGCGUGGAAUGUCGAUCUUGUAGGCGUUGUUGUUGUAGCAUUCAAGCACCUUGAAGGGUCCAUCCGCUCGUGGUCGAAGUUUGGACUUGCGUUCGUGGGGGAAGCAGUCCUUGCGAAGGUGUAGCCACACAAGAUCUCCAAUGUUGAAUAUCAUGGGGUGCUUGUUGAUGUUGAGCUUGGUCGCAAGUCGUUGUACUUGGCGCUCGAUGGUGUGCCUUGUAUCUUCAUGCACCUUCUUGAGAUGGUUCACACGUGCACUUGCAUCCAUAUUGAUGCGCUCUUGUAGUGGUAGCGAGAGAAUGUCCAAAGGGGACAAUGGGUUGAAUCCGUAGACGACCUCGAAGGGGGACUUGCCGGUAGUUGAGUGUCUUGCGUGGUUGUAGGUGAACUCGGUGAUAGGUAGACACUCCUCCCACUCCUUGAUGUUCUUCUUGAUUAGCACUCGAAGUAGAGCGGAGAGUGUGCGGUUGGUCACCUCCGUUUGGCCGUCGGUUUGAGGAUGGUAAGCCGUGGAGAAGAGUAGCUUGAUUCCGAGCUUGGCACAUAGGGUCUUCCAAAAGUAACUCAAGAACUUGACGUCGCGGUCCGAGACAGUCUUCUUUGGCACUCCAUGUAGUCGUAAGAUUUCCCUACAAAAUAUAUUGGUAACAUGUGAAGCAUCGUCGAUCUUGUUGCAAGGAAUAAAAUGUGCCAUCUUAGAGAAUCGGUCCAUAACAACAAAUACCGAAUCCUUUCCAUUUCUAGUUCUAGGCAAUCCAAGUACAAAAUCCAUGCUAAUAUCUUCCCAUGGUUGAUAUGGAAUUGGGAGAGGCAUAUAAAGUCCAUGGGAUUGAGCUUUAGACUUAGCUUUGCGACAUGUAGAGCAUCGGUUGGUGAAGUGGUGGACUUCGCGAAACACCUUGGGCCAAUAAUAGUUCUUGGAGAGCAUAGCAAAAGUCUUGUCGCAUCCAAAAUGUCCCAUUAGUCCUCCUCCAUGAGAUUCCUGCAAAAGCAACAAACGAAGAGAAGACUCGGGGAUGCAAAGUUUGUUAGCUCUCAUAAGAUAUCCAUCUUUGAUGUUAUAGCAUUCCCAAGAUGCAUGCAUCAUACACUUGGCAUAAGGAGUAGUAAAAGUGGGAUCAUGCGCAUACAAGUCUUUUAUGUGCUCAAAGCCAAUGUCAUCCAAUUCAAGUUGAGUAACAAGCAUGCAUAUGCGGGAAAGAGCGUCCGCCACAACAUUUUCCUUACCUUUGAUGUACUUGAUGACAUAAGGAAAAGACUCAAUGAAUUCACUCCAUUUAGCACGACGCUUGUUCAACUUAGUUUGACCCUUAAGGUAUUUAAGCGUUUCAUGAUCAGUAUGAAUGAUAAAUUCAUGAGGGCGAAGAUAAUGUUCCCAUUCAUGCAAAACUCGCACUAAAGCAUAUAACUCUUUGUCAUAGAUGGGGUAAUUGAGUUGCGCCCCGGAAAGUUUCUCACUAAAGUAAGCUAUGGGGCGCUUCUCUUGCGUUAACACACCUCCUAUGCCAUUACCACUAGCAUCACAAUGAAUCUCAAAGGGUUUGUCAAGUUGGGUAAUGCAAGCACGGGAGCAUGAGUAAGCAAAUUUUUAAGCUCAUUGAAUGCGGUAUCUUUGGAUGGUCCCCAAACAAAAGGCACAUUUUUCUUGCUCAAAGCAUGCAAAGGUGAAGCAAUGGUGCUAAAGUCCUUCACAAAUCUAUGGUAGAAACCGGCUAAACCAAGGAAGCUACGCACUUGAUGCAAGUUGGUUGGUUGUGGCCAAGUUUUAAUAGCAUUGAUCUUAGAGUCAUCAACAUGAACACCCUUAGAGGAAACUACAAAACCGAGGAAAACAAGAUUAUCAAUGCCAAAAAGGCACUUUUCCAUGUUAGCAUAGAGAUGCUCUUUUCGAAGAGUUUGCAAAAUGGUCCGAACAUGGGUGACAUGAUCUUUAAGAGAUUUGCUAUAAACAAGGAUAUCAUCGAAGUAGACCACAACAAACUCACCAAUGUAAGGGCGAAAGACAUGAUUCAUAAGACGCAUAAAAGUACUCGGUGCUUCCGAUAAACCCAUAGGCAUGACUAACCACUCAUACAAACAAAACUUUGUUUUGAAAGCGGUUUUCCAUUCAUCACCCUCUUGUACGCGGAUUUGAUAGUAACCACUUUUAUGAUCAAUUUUGGAAAAUAUAGUGGCACCACUAAGUUCAUCAAGAAUAUCAUCAAGGCGUGGAAUGGGAUACCUAUAGCGAACGAUGAUAGCAUUGAUAGGUCUACAAUCGGAACACAUGCGAAAGAUACCAUCUCUUUUGGCACAAGAAUGACCGGAAAGACACAAGGACUCAAACUUUCGCGCACAUGUCCAUGGUCUAUGAGAUGCUUUACUUGCCUUUGUAUUUCUUUGGUUUCUUCGGGGUUGACGCGACAUGGAGCUUUGUUUGGAAGUGGUGCUCCGGGGAUGAGGUCAAUGCGGUGCUCGAUGCCUCGUAGUGGAGGUAGUCCCGGAGGUAGCUCGUCGGCGAAAACAUCUUGGAAUUCCUGCAAAAGAGAAGACAACACUAAAGGUAGAGUGUGAGAGGUGUUAGCUUGUGGUGCGUCGUCCUUGCACAAAAGGAUGUAGUGUAUCACACUAGAUGGGUUCUCACACACUUCUCUUAUCUCACAUUUUGUGGUAAAUAGAACUAGGUUCUUCUUUUCGCUCAUCGUGGAGGCACUCGAUUUGGGUUUGUGGCGCUCACUCUCUUUUUGGUGGUUCGCUCUCUCACUAUUCUCUCCACGAUGGGUGGCUUGAUUGUCGGCGAUCACUUGGCUUGGAGCCAUAGGGCGAAGUACGUACUCCUUUCCUUUCAUCUUGAAGAUGUAGUGGUUCGUUCGGCCGUUGUGGAUGACACCUCUAUCAAAUUGCCAUGGUCGACCAAGAAGAAGGUGGCAAACGGUCAUUGGAACGACAUCACACUCCAAAGUGUCUUCGUAAGCUUUGAUUUUGAAGGAGACUUGCACUCUAUGCUCGACUUGAAUAGUGCCGGAGUCGCUUAGCCAUUGAACUUUGUAGGGAUGUGGGUGCUUCGUCUUGGGCAAUUGGAGCUUGGAGCAAAGUUCUUCACCUGCUAAGUUAUGGCAACUCUCUCCAUCGAUGAUGACCUUGACGGACCUUCCAUUGAUGCCGGCCUUGGUACGGAAUAUGUGGCAUCUUUGGUCUUCUUCUUGGUGAUGUUGAAGGGUCAAGACCUUAGAGACAACAAGAGCGGGACUUGAAUCUUCAUCACAAAAGACUUGUUCCUCUUUAUCAUUCACUUGUCGGUGCAUGGCGACUUGCUCAAGUGCUUUCGUUUCUCCUUCACUCAUGGAGUCGUAUGUACCAUCGUCUUUGACGAUCAUGGUCCGCUUGUUGGUACACUCAAAGGACUUGUGGCCUCGGCCUCCGCAUGUGAAGCAUUGGAAGGAACUUGUAUUGACGGUCUCAUCGGUUGGGGUGGAUGAUGGUGAAGCUCUUAGCUUGAAGUUGCUGAUUGUAGGAAGAUGACUUGGGGUUGUCGAAGCUUUCUUGUAACUCGACUUGUCGAUGUUGCUUGUAGAAGGCUUUGUUGAUGUAGACGGUGUUUGAGUCGUUGAUGCUUGGGUGUUGGAGAAACCAUAUGACUUGGAUGAGAACUUGGCAUACUUGAAGUCAUCUUGCACUUGACGUUCCGCUUUGGUAGCUUGAUGCACUAGCUCGAUGAGGUUCGAGUAUGGUUGGAAGUCGGCGAUCUUCUUGAUAGGGUUAUUGAGUCCAUUCAAUAAAUGUGCCAUAGUUUGCUCAUCAUCUUCCGUGACAUUGGCCCAUAUCAUUGCAAUCUCCAUUUCCUUGUAGUACUCUUCAACGCUCUUGGUUCCUUGCUUAAGUAGUUGGAGUUUCUUGAAGAGGUCACAGUUGUAGUAGGUAGGCACGAAGCAUGCUCUCAUGACAUCCUUCAUUUGUGCCCAAGCAGUGAUGGGUGGUUCACCUUUUGCCUCUCGGCGCUCAAUGACUUGUUCCCACCAAAUGAGGACAUAGUCUUGGAACUCAAGGGAUUCCAUCGUGAUCUUCUUCUCUUCUUCAUAGUUGUGCAAGCGGAAGAUUUUGUCGACCUUCAAUGCCCAUGAAAAGUACUCUUUGGGAUCGUUGCUUCCAUUGAGCUUGGGCAUGGUGAACUUUAGCUUGCGGUAGCGUUGCUCUUCAUUGUGUUCGGGUCGUGGAUGAUGACGUCCUUGACGAGGAGGAUCGUUUCUCACAACUUGCUCUUACCGUGGAGGAUUUCCAUUGUCUUCUUGCUAUUGUUGAACUUGAUGUUCUUGGCGAGCUUGUGGAGGAACUUGUCGAGCUUGAGUUGCACGCGAGCUUGAUAUAUGCGUUCGUGAACUUCUUCGCGAAGUGCUUCUUCAUGUUCAUGAGCUUGUCGUCCUUGGUUGGCUACGACUCGACUUGAUUCUCGGAGGGCUUGUUGCGCCUCAAGUGCUUGAGCUUCUCGCAAUUGUUGCUCUUGACGUUGUGCCUCAGCAUCUUGUGCUUCUUGGUGAAGACACGCUCGCUCUUCCUCUUCGUGUUGGCGUUGUCGUUGUCGUUCUCAUGCUUGCGCAAAGGUAGCUUGGUUUUGACAAUGUCGUUGUUCUUGCGAGUUGUUGUCGUGUAGAGGGUUGCGGUUGGCUUGAUGAUCUUGGCGCGCGGCAUGAUGAAGAGUAUCCGAUGUCGGUGUACUUGAGCCGGAGAUGGUGUAGUCGGAGUGUCGCUCCGUCUUGAUGAGGACGAAGUGGAUGAAGAGCGGUUGAGCAACAAAGCACGAAUCUCAUCCAUUCUUGCAUCAUUCUCUUGCUUGUGGUCAUCGAGCUUGUGGUCAAAGUAGUCUCUUGUACAUUGCUCGGAGAGUCGCAAGUCGGUGGCGAGGUUGUCGAUGCGUUCACUCAUUGCUUGUUGCUCUUGAUGCAAAGCACAUUGUGCACCAAAGAGGUGGCUCUUUGUGACGUAGGAGUUCAUGUCGUCGUCUUGCCCGAUGAAGAGUGGGUUGGUAGAAGUACUUGGCCUAUCCAUCAUUCCAAGAUAAAUAUGUGAGUGGGAGAAGGAGAAGAACUUAUAACAAAUGUCCCUUGACCGAUGUUGAAGAUGGAUCAAAGAUCAACUCCAAUGUGGAACAAGGAAAUAGAACAAUUGGUACCAAUUCUUGUCGGUUUCUCACACCUACACAAGUAAAAGCUUAUGGUGGAGCUUGGUUAGGAUGGUGGCACAAAAUUUGAUGCAAUUGUUAGUGAGCUUCAAUAAUGUUGGAAAAGAUUCUCAAGUUUGCAAUGCAACAAGUAGACCAAGCAAUAUAAGGUACACGGAAACACACACGCAAAGAGAUAAGUGGGGUCGUGCAACCAAGGAUGAGCCAAAAUGUGGAAUCCACGAAAAUGCUCUUAUUGCACAACACUAGAGAGACGCUAGCACGAUUGCACAAUAGGUGGAUACGAAGACUUGUGGACAACCUACUAAGCAAAAAUGCAACAACUUCUAUCCCAAGUAUACUCUAUGUAUGGUGUUUCGAUGAUAUGAUCCAAGAUGAUCUAGUAUGACAAUCUUAAUGUUGUAUGAUGCUAUGGUUCUUGCUUAAAAGCUCUUUGCUUAUCUUCCCCUUUUUCUUAAAAGCUUGUUUGGCUCUUUGUUGUUUGAGCUCUUUUCUCAUGCAAUGCUUCACGAACCAAGAUAGCAAUUGUGUAUGCGAUGACAACCUUGUGACACAAGAGAUGAUACCAAGAUAUGCACCAAUGAUAUGUAUGUAUGCUAUGGGAAGUAUGAUCACUAAUGUGCACAAGUCACGUUGCCGGCAAUACUCAAAGGCUAGUCUCUAUGGGUAAGCGACGCAAAAGAGUAAGGCUAUCAUGGCUAUUAACAUAAUGGCAAGAAUGAUGUAUCACUAUACCAAGAUGACUUUACCACUUCUUGCUUACGGUAUGGUGUCAAAAUGGUGUAGUGGCUGUUGUCGAUGACGCAUCCGUGGCGAAGAUGAGCGGUGGUGAUGUUGAUGCCGAAUCGUACCUAAAUAGCCGAAACACAAUAGGACACGGAACCGCAACUCAAAUUCUCAAAGCAAAACGUGACAAAAUUGUCGGAGUUGGUAGUGGUAAGUGAUGGUGGUGUAUGUGGUAUAUGGCGGUGCUAUGCGGAAGUGGUGGUGGUAUGCGGAAGUGUAUGUGGGCACCGGAACAAAAUUUGGCGAAGUAUGGAUGGAAAAAUGGGUGGUGGAUGGAAGUGAUGCUGCCAAGGGCCGGAUCUCCGGGCUUGAUGGCCGGAUGUUCGGGUGGCCGGAUGUCUGGGCUGUCGGGCCGGAUGUCUGGGCUCUGGAUCCGCGGACGAACUCGAUGAACUUCGCGUGGAGAGGUCAAAUCCGGGUUCGGAGAAAUUUGUGGAUGGAAAUUGGGGAAAGUUGAUGGAAAGCUAGAUCUACCUGCAAUACAUGAAAUCCGCGGAUCAAAUCCAACAAAACUUCAUCACACCAACAAAUCACAAAAAAAAUUUGGGGCUAUUUUUGUGGGGAAUUUUCAAAUCAGGGAGAAAACCAACAAAACAAGGCUAGAAAACAAAGAGGGGAGGCUCCGAAAUCGUGAUCAAUGUGGCUCUAGAUACCAAGAUGAUGUAGGGUGGAAACCCUAGGGUCCAAUCUUUCACGAAAGGAGCGGAUCCCGUGAUGAACACGAAGAACACGAGGGGAAACACGAGGGGAAAUCACAAGGGGCACAAAGAGAAACACUCAAACCAACAAGAUUAAGUCACACAUGUGCUAGAUCCAUGAACACAAAUGAGAUACAAGAUCCAAAGUCAACAAGGGACGAUACAAAUGGUAACCGAUCUUCUCCGUGAGGAGGUCUUGAAUCCAAGUGGAUCUUCUUCGAAGAGGGGCCGCGGUCUCUCUCGUGGAGUAGAUCCGGAUGGAUGAGCAAAGCUCUAUCUCACAAAUGAGCUAACACAACGCUAACCCUAAAACGUAGGUAGGAGGAGAGUAUAUAUAGUCUAGGGGGCGAAAGGGUACAUGGGCCUUGGCCCUUUACUGUGCGCAGACAGACGGGGCCGGACGUCCAGGCGUCGGGCCGGAUGUCCGGGCCUUCAGGAGGAGCCGGAUGUCCGGGGCUAGGGCCGGAUGUCCGGGCUGACGGGGCUUCUCUUCUGUCCUAUGUUUGCAGCUUGUCCGGAUAUCCGGGUGUUGGGGCCGGAUUUCCGAGCCGGGCCGGGCCGGAUGUCCGGGGCCUGUAGAUGCUCGGCGGCUGGAAUGCUGCUGUAGUCGAUGUCUCUAGCGGCUGGAUGUCCGGGCUCGGGGCCGGAUGUCUGGGCCAUGGAGCUGCCUUCUUCUCCUUUCGGCGUUCCUCUUCAUCCGUGGACUUGGCGGCUUGUCCGUCUGCACGUGCAUCUUCGGGAGGGUCCUCUUGGUACCUAAUCACGCACAUUAUCUCGGACUUAGGUAGUAGCCAUGUCUCGAGAGGGUCAUAUGUAAUAUCACUAAGGAGAGAAGUCACCUCGGUCUCGAGAGCUCUAGCUCUAGCUCGAGUCAUAGGUCCUCUUGGCACUUCGUGAGACGAUGGUAGGUCCAUGGGGAUGACCAUAGGAUGCUCCGCAUCACCGCGCCUGCUGGCCGCCGAAACGAGCAGGAGCUCUUCCAUGGCGCCUCCUUCCGCUUCCCCCCUGCUGCAGAACUCCAUUGCCCCUGCUCCUCUUCACCUCACGCGCUGACCGACCGCUGCCGCCUCGGGACCAUGUUGGCCUACCUCCUGCCCCGAGCUCCUCCCAGGAACCAAAUCCUCCACAGUUCGCUCCAGAUCCGGCCGGCAUCCGCUAGGUUUCCCAUUCCUGGCCGGAUCCCACCGUCCCGGUCCUCCCCUGCAAGCUCUUGCCGCCGUGCAGAGUUCCUCCUGCCGCCGCUGCUUCGCUGGAGAGCUUUGCCGCGCCAAGCUCCCUUGCUUCUUCUGUGUCUAGCUAUAGCUCGAGCGCUAUGCUCUCGCUCGUGUGCAUCGACCACACGUGGGCCACCUCAUCCGCAGUGCCUCCUAGGCCCAGCCGUGCCAGAUCUGCCUGCAGCCUUGCCUCCCACCAACUAGGCCUCAGCCCACUAGGUGAGGCCACCCCCAGCGCCCACUAUCCUGUGCAGCCCGGUAGACCAGAUUCGGCCCGGCUACAUUUUUUCCCUGCUGACGUUUUUCCUAAUAUCCAGUGCAUGCAUAAUUACAGGAAUGUCACUAUUUUGUAUUGUUAAUAACUAAAUGUCCACGCAUCAUAAUUGAACAAACUAAAUAUGUAAAAUACUUAGAAUUUCAUCUAGUUUCAUAAUAUGAUGCUCUCAUCCAUGUUUAAAAUGUUGUUUGCAUUUAUUUUGCAUAAUGACUUGUUAAAAUGCUUUAUUUCAUAACUAAAUAACCAUAGCUCCGUUUUAAUAAACUUUAUAUGUAGAUGGGGUAGAAAAAACCAUAUAUUAACAUGGUGGCCUUACGUUGCAUGUUUAACAACUCUAAAAUCAUGUAUCGGGAAGAACAAUACCAAAUUCAAAAUAUGCACAUGGGGAUUUUUCGGAGUUGUUGUUUGUUGUUCCGGCCUCAUUUAAACUUGCCUAAAUAGUUAGUUUACUUAUGCUUCACCUCUUGCCAUGUUAACCAACAUUUAACAUUGUUGAGUACAUAAACGAGAUUUUUGAACUAAAUAUUCGAAUGUGGUGUUUCGUCAGUAGGCAACUCGUUGCAUAUUGAGCUCCACUUAACUUGUAGUGUUGUUUGUUGCACUUUGCCAUGCCAUGCCUCAUUAAACCGGACAUGCAUCAUACUUGAUUGUGCAUCAUGCCAUGCUUAUGUGAUGGUUGUUUACCAUCAUGUUUGCUUCUUUCCGGUUGCGCUUCUCCUUCAUAGUUCUGGUUACGUUGUGAUUGUGAGGAUCCGUUCGACUACGUUGGUUCAUCUACGUCAUGGACUCGGCCGUAUUCCUAGUGGGAUUUCAGGCAAGAUGACCAUCACCUUGGAUCUCACUACUAUCUUUGCUAUGCUAGUUGUCUCGAUGCUAUCGCUAUGUCGCGUUACCUACCACUUGUUUAUCAAGCCUCCCAAAUUGCCAUGAUAGCCUCUAACCUUUUCACCCUUCCUAGCAAACCGUUGUUUGGCUAUGUUACCGCUUUGCUAAGACCCUCUUAUAGCAUUGAUAGUUGCAGGUUGUUCCAUGUUGGGACAUGAAUAUCAUGGGAUAUCACAAUAUCUCUUAUUUUAAUUAAUGCAUCUAUAUACUUGGUAAAGGGCGGAAGGCUUAGCCUUUUGCUUGGUGUUUUGUUCCACUCUUGCCGCCCUAGUUUCCGUCAUACGGGUGUUAUGUUCCUUGAUUUUGCAUCCCUAACACAAUGUGGAUUUAUGGGCCCCUCUUGAUAGUUCGCUUUGAAUAAAACUCUUCUAGCAAGGCCCAACCUUAGUUUUACCAUUUGCCCAAUAAUAACUAAAACUUGCAUAGGGACCGGCUAGCACCCGAGGUCUCUUAAUCAACCGCCCGGGCCAGUGGUCCUCAUGAGUGUUGGUCCAACUUGUCAACCACUGGUGGCCACCAGGGGCAACUCUGUGAUUGGCCUAUCGGAAGUUUGGACAAUCCGAUCGUGGCCUGAGACGAGAUACACACAGCUACUAUCAGGGUGUCGGCACGUCGGGAGGUCUUCCUGGACUUGUUUUACCAUUGUCGAAAUGUCUUGUGCACCGGGAUUCCGAGUCUGAUCGGAGGGUCCCGAGAUGGAGGAUUGUCUCCGCGGAUCGUGAGCUUGUCAUGGGCUAAGUUGGGACACCCCUACAGGGUUUAAACUUUCGAGAGCCUUGCCCACGGUUAUGUGGCAGAUGAGAAUUUGUUAAUAUCCGAUUGUAGUGGACUUGAAGUAAACUUAAUUAAAAUACACCAACCGCGUGUGUAACCGUGACUGUCUCUAUUCGAUGAGGUUCGGGAAGAGAACACGGUUGGGUUAUGUUUGAACGUAAGUAGUUCAGGAUCACUUAUUUAUCAUUCUAGUUUGCGACCGUUUGUGUAGUUUCUCAUCUUAUUCUUGUACUCGUAAGUUAGCCACCAUACAAUGCUUAGUCGCUUGCCGCAACCUCACCACUUAUCCAUUCCAUACCCUUUAAGCUUUGCUAGUCUUGAUACCCAUGGUAAUGGGAUUGCUGAGUCCUUGUGGCUCACAGUUUACUAUACCAACAGUUGCAGGUGCAGGUAAUGCGAUGAUCUGACGCGAGUGCGAUGUUUGCUUAUUUGGAGUUCUUCUGCUUCUUCUGCCUCUUCUUCUUCUUCUUCUUCUUCUUCGAUCAAGGGAUAGAUUCUGGGUCAGGGAGCCUGGGAUUAGCAGGGUGGAUGUCGUUCUUCUUUUUCGUUUGAUUUCAUCCGUAGUUAGAUCCUGCUCUUCUGUAUGAUGGUUGAUAUGUAUUGAUGUAUUGUUGUAUGAAUGUUGUAACUUGUGGCGAGUGUGAGCCUUUAUCUUGUAUUCUCAUCUAUUUAGUACAUGGUAUGUUGUAAUGAUAUCCACCUUGCUAUGCGCUCGAAAUGCGGUUGUGCCCCUAUCAUGAAUUCAUCACGUGAUUGGGAUAGAAUUGCAUCUUGGGCGCGUCACAACUACAUCCAACGACCAAGACGACGAGGACACCAAGUACAAGGAACAAGAAGAGGAGCUGCCAGAAAAUCUCCAGCCACCAAAAGACCGAGACUUGUCGGACGUCCGACGCCUGAAGCUCCCGCCAGCCCAAGUCCCAGCUAGUGAAGCCUAUAGCGGCCGGACGUCCGACGCUCACCGGACGACCGAGAACUUACAACGGCCGAAUGCCCGACCACCACCAGAAAUCCAACACCUGCGGAUCAGAGCCAAAACGUCAGAAGUCUAAGCUCCUUCGGACGACCGGUGCACCAGACGUCCGACCCUGACCGAAAAUCCAACAUCGCCCAUCCAGAGCCAAAACAACGGACGUCUGACAACUACCGGAUGGCCGAACCCCCGCCAACGACCGAACAUCCGGUAACUGUCGGACGACCGACGCCUGUCUGUGCACAGCACGUUGGGCCGAGGCCCAUGUACCCCUUCGUCCACAUAGACUAUAUAUACUCCUUCUCCUCCCUCUUUCUAGGGUUAGCAUUGGUUUUAGCUCAUAUGAGAGACAGAGCUUUGCUCAUCCACUUGAUACCUACUCCAUUGGAGGCCAAGCCCUCUAAGGGAGUCCUGGAUUAGGGGGUCCUCAGACAGCUGGACUAUAUCCUUUGGCCGGACUGUUGGACUAUGAAGAUACAAGAUUGAAGACUUCGUCCUGUGUCCGGGUGGGACUCGCCUUUGCGUGGAAGGAAAGCUUGGCAAUUUGUAUAUGUAGAUCUCCUCCCUUGUAACCGACUCCGUGUAACCCUAGCCCCUUCCGGUGUCUAUAUAAACCGGAGGGUUUUAGUCCGUAGGACGACAACAAUCAUACCAUAGGCUAGCUUCUAGGGUUUAGCCUCUCUGAUCUCGUGGUAGAUCAACUCUUGUAAUACUCAUAUCAUCAAGAUCAAUCAAUCAGGAAGUAGGGUAUUACCUCCAUCGAGAGGGCCCGAACCUGGGUAAACAUUGUGUCCCUCGCCUCCUGUUACCAUCCGCCUUAGAUGCACAGUUUGGGACCCCCUACCCGAGAUCCGCCGGUUUUGACACCGACAUUGGUGCUUUCAUUGAGAGUUCCACUGUGUCGUCACCAUAAGGCUUGAUGGCUCCUUCGAUCAUCGGCAACGAUGCGAUCCAGGGUGAGGUUUUCCUUCCCGGACAGAUCUUCGUAUUCGGCGGCUUCGUACUGUAGGCCAACUCGCUCGGCCAUCUGGAGCAGAUCGACAGCUACGCCCCUGGACAUUAGGUCAGGUUUGGAAGCUUGAACUAUACCGCCGACAUCCGCGGAGACUUGAUCUUCGACGGAUUCGAACCCAUGUCAGGUGCGCCGCACAAUCACGAUGGGCACAGUUUAGCUCUGUCGCCGGACAGUGUUCGGGAAAUCACACCUGUAACUACUCCGGCCUUCAAUCCGGAACAUAUCGCGCCAUCCGAGGAUGGGUGGAUGGACCCCUCCACGGAGGCCGCACACUCAGCGGUGAUAGAGCCGAAUUCUGACUUCACCUCCUAUGAGACCCGUGUUGCCGGACACUCGGAUUCGUCCCCGGCCACAGACUCCGAACUGCCCGCAUCUGUGCCUAUCUAAUCCGAUUGGGCACCGAUCAUGGAGUUUACCUCCGCGGAUAUCUUUCAGUACUCGCCCUUGGGCAACGUGCUAAACUCAUUACGGUCUCUCUCCUUGUCAGGAGACCCUUGGCCGAACUAUGUCUGGCUCGAGUGGGAAGCGGACGACGAAGAAAUUCGUGCCCCACCCACCACCCACUUAGUAGCCACUGUCGACGACUUAACCGACAUGCUCGAUUUCGGCUCCGAAGACAUCGACAGUAUGGACGACGAUGCGGGAGACGAAUAGGAACCACCGCCCACAGGGCGCCGGACUGCCACUUCAUCACAUGAUAUAUACAUGGUGGAUACACCCAAAGAAAAUGAUGAUGAGGAACGGGAGGAAGCAGCGAAGGAUAAUUCCCUCGAGAAGCAACCAAAGUGACGGCGUAAGCGCCGCUCCAAAUCCUGCCUCGGCAAAAACAACGAUAACAGUGCAAGAAAGAGUAACACCCCGGUCGACCCCAAAGGAGACAACGACCACAUGAACCCAGCGGUGGAGCAGGGUGAACCAGUGGACGGCGAACAUAAUACAGAGCCGCUGUCCGGUGACGACAACCCCGAGGGUAAAACUCAUCAAGCUGGCUCCGGAGACAUGAAUAGUCCGGACGACGAUGCACACAUCAUCCCUGAAAGACACUUGGAACAAGAGAACCUUCAUAAAAGGCCCAUUGAAACCGCGCGGAGCCUGAAGAAGUAGAAGAAAAGGCUUAAGACCGCGCAGAAUAUGCUCAACAACAGAUGGAAUAAAGUGCUUGACAUGGAAGAAAAGUACGGCGGUAAUCGCCACACAAAAAGCUAUCCAAAGUACAAGCUGUUGCCUGAAUUCGACGACGAGGCCUUAGAGCCCACUCAGCCGGAAAAUAAAAUGGCCGAUCAACCGAACCGGCCACCCCGUGGUCGCGACAGGGCGGCUAAUGAUGACGUACACAAGUCAGCACACGACCUACGUGAGGACCUACACAAAAAGCCGGUUUGACCAGGUCCAUUUACGGAUCUAGGAAGCAUGUUCCGGCACAGAAUCAUCGCUUCCCAAAUAACUAUACUGACAGAAUAACAGUUCGGAAUAAAAAACGAACACUACAACCGUCAGACACACCCAAAUACAGGGGUGCCAUGCACCCCCUAUGCUUCACCGACGAGGUGCUGGAUCAUGAAUUUCCCGAGGGAUUCAAACCUGUGAACAUAGAGGCAUACAACAGAACGACAGACCCUGGGGUCUAGAUCGAGGACUUUAUCCUCCAUAUCCACAUGGCUCGUGGAGAUGAUCUCCACGCCAUCAAAUACUUGCCCCUCAAGCUGAAAGGACCAGCUCUGCAUUGGUUAAAGAGCCUCCCCGAAAACUCAAUUGGAAGUUGGGAAGAGCUUGAGGAUGCUUUUCGGGCCAAUUUUCAAGGGACUUAUGUCCGACCUCCGGAUGCAGACGAUUUCAGUCACAUAAUUCAACAGCCCGGAGAGUCAGCCCCGAAAGUUUUGGAACAGAUUCCUCACUAAGAAGAAUCAAAUUGUUGAUUGCCCAGACGCCGAAGCUCUAGCGGCUUUCAAACAUAGUUUCCGAGACGAAUGGCUUGCUAGACACCUCGGCCAGGAAAAACCAAGGACAAUGGCAGCCCUAACAAGCCUUAUGACCCGCUUUUGCGCGGGCGAGGAUAGUUGGCUGGCCCGCAGAGACACCAGCGACCCAAGCACAUCCGAAGUCAGGGAUGGCAAUGGAAAACCACGACGCAAUAAAAGCAAGCGUUGAAGCAACGAAGACAGCCUAGACAACACGGCGGUAAACACCGGAUUCAGGGGCUCUCGACCCGGUCAACGGAAAAAGCCAUUCAAAGGCAGCAGAGAUGGACCGUCCAGCCUAAACAAGAUUCUGGACAGAUUAUAUCAGAUUCAUGACACCUCCGAUAAACCUGCAAAUCACACCAACAGAGAAUGCUGGGUCUUCAAAUAGGCCGGCAAGCUAAACGCCGAACACAAGGGGAGGGAGACACCAAGUGAAGACGAGGAUGAGCCUGACCAACAAAACACUGGGGGACAGAAAAAAUUCCCGCCAGAAGUCAAAACAGUGAACAUGAUCCACGUAACGAAGAGGAGGAGCACACGCGCACUCCGAGACGUACGCGCCGUAGAGCCCGUUACCCCCAAGUUCAACCCUUGGUCGGCCUACCCAAUCACUUUUGAUCGCAGGGAUCACCCGACUAGUAUCCGGCAUGGAGGAUCGGCUGCCUUGGUACUAGACCCAAUAAUUGACGAAUACCAUAUCACCGAGUCCUUAUGGACGGCGGCAGUAGUCUUAAUCUGAUAUAUCAAGACACAGUCCGCAAAAUGGGGAUAGACCCAACAAGAAUCAGCCACACCAAUACUACCUUUAAAGGAGUAGUACCAGGCCCAGAGGCCCGCUGCACGGGCUCUCUAGUACUAGAGGUUGUAUUCGGUUCCCCCGACAACUUCCAAAGUGAAAAAUUAACCUUCGACAUCGCUCCAUUCCGAAGCGGCUAUCAAGCACUACUCAGAAGAAUAGCCUUCGCUCGUUUUAAUGCAAUACCACAUUACGCUUAUCUUAAUCUUAAGAUGCCCGGUCCACGUGGCAUCAUCAUAGUUAGCAGAAACUCAGAGCGUUCCUUACAUGCGGAGGAAUGUAUGGCGACUUUUGCAGCCGAACACUGAACGACCCCUCCAACCAGAAUAAAUGAUCAGUCGUCAAGACCGCAGACACGGCUAGACGAGUCUGGUGCACCCCUCGCUGUAACAGUUCAGAUCAACCCGAGAUUGGGUCGAUGGAUACACCCCCAUAGGUGGUGCUAGGGGCUUCCCGCAUGUAAAAAGGACUAUAGUUCGGCUUGACCUUACUUAGAUUGAAUUUCAAUGGUCUAUUAAGAAUAACCAAUUUUCCGCACAUAGACUUUCACCUGGGUUUUUUCUCUCUUGCAGAUGACAAUCGUGCUACACCCUUCCAGGACACGGCAUAACGGAGACACAGGCGCAGACGUGCAGCAGGGCCCCGCUCAAAGGUUUAUUUUUAGAUUAAAACCUUGUGUAAACCUUUCUCACUGUCUCUUGUUGCUUCACGCCCUCUGGAUACUUAGCACAACCAAGAGGGAUGCUGACGUUAUUGGCAUUUUCGCCACGUCAUACUGAUGCACGUACCUGGAAAUUCAGGGUUCAUUAUCAAGGGCUUUGUUCAGCCCGAUAUAUGUUGUAAAGUCCGAAUACCUUAGGGAGUGUUCGGCGUCGCGAGUUUGGGCUUAUAUGCAUCAGCUCCGAAUCAUGUCUUUGAUCAAAUGUUGGGUUUGCUCGGCUCCCGUGUUUUGUUACCUUACGUUCCGUUCUAUCGGCUAAGGUGGCACCAAGAGAACUACUGCGAUUGUGCCCUGGUUCAUCCGGAUGAGCACCUCAGUAGAGAAAGCCGAAAACUGACUGUCAUGAUAAAGCGCAAGACUCGUCAACCACUCGAGGACUUAGCGGAAUCUUCAUGAUUCCUCCGCAUUAAUGAAGGACCGGUUUCCCGGUCAUGUAUGUACACGCACCGUAUUCGGAUAAGGGCGGAAGUACCAGGGGCUAUAUAGUAGCCCCACUGUCAAACUCCUAUGGCUAAGUGAAAGUGUUAAAGCAAUAUAGUCCGAUUGCCUUGUUCGCCGCGCUAUCACCUCCUCCAUGGACCAAGACGUUGGAUCAAGUGUGAAUACGUGCUUUCCGAACACCCCCGCAUUAUGUGCGUGGGGGCUGAAGCCGACGACUGCAAACUUUCAGGUUAUAUACUUACAUAAACAGCCGCACAGGAGGCAUCACAAUACCUUCAGGCAAUAAAUACAGCGUGUGUAAUUCAAAUAAUAUUAUUUUUACAAUGGGGAUACAUGUCACUCAAACAUGAUACUCUUCGAGCACCGAGCCUCUAUUAAACGAGCGCCUUCUAGGACAUCUUCUAAGUAGUGCUCGGCCGAGACCUGGCCUACGGCCGGACCCUGGGUUGCAAUAGCGGUGGCAUCCAUCUCUGCCCAGUAUGUCUUAACACGGGCAAGAGCCAUCCGCGCACCCUCUAUGCACGCCGACCUCUUUACAACAUCAAUAUGCUGCACAACACCAAGGAAUCGUUGCACUAAACCAAAAUAACUAUUCCGCUUUGGUCCUUCCGGCCAAAGAUGAUCCACGACAGACCUCAUGGCAAGCCUGGACAACCUAUGGAGCUCAGCCCACUCGGCCAUUUGCUCAUUUAACAGCAGCGGACGCGUCGGAGCACCGAACUGCAACCAGAACAACUUCUCCAAUUCGUGAUCUUCUUGAUCUUUGAAAAACGCAGUCGCAUCAGCAGCACUCAUUGCCAAGUCCGAAUACGCAUCUGCAGCAUUCCAUAAUCGAUCCAGAGGGGCAUACUUCGAAUCUCCGAACUUCGUCCGCAACAAAAAGGGCUUUCCAGCCAUGAUAUCUCUGGCUUGAAGGAGCUCCUCCUUUGCCGCUCUGAUUUUAGAACGGGUUUCCUUGGCUGCCUCCACAGUUCUCUUCAGGUCAGCCACUCCCUCUUGGCUUUCCUUUUCAAGAAGCUCAUAUCGGUUGUCAGCAUCUUUCAGCUCAACAGCCAUCUUGGCUAUUUCAUCCUCGCUCUUGCGAUGAGCAGCCUGUUCGGCUCUUAAGUCUUCGGCCGCCUUUAGGGCGGCCGCAUCACUUCUCCUGGCUUGUUCCUUGGCUCGGGCCAGUUCCUCCGGAAGGGUCUCCACGGUGGCAGAUCCAUCUGCAGUCACAACAUAUUAUAGAUACUAGCAUCAUGCUCCUCUUAAUACUUGUUGACCACCCAAAAAUACAUACCCUAUGCCUCGUCAAGCCGCUUGUUCACAAGCGCAAUGUCGUCAUCUGCCGUGUCCAGUUGCCGGCUCAUUCCGGCCAACUCAGCAGUCCGACCAGCCAUCGGACCAUCCGCUGCCUGCACAUGAAAGCAGCGCGAUCAUUACCUGGGACUAUGAUCCUCUGUUUGCCGCCUAAAGACAGCAACCAGAGUCUCAGGGGCUACUACAUGCAUAGAGCACACCUAGCGUGUGCGGUACCAUAAAAAAGCUUUAUAUUACUUUGCGUACCUCAAAGCCUUUUAGCAGACUCGUAAAAUCUUGAUGCAACCCACUUUUGGCGGAUGAGAUUGUCUCAACCACCAUACCCAUUAAAGUACGAUGCUCCUCUGAGAUAGCCGCUUGUUCCAAAUGACCCGUCAGUACGUCCGGUUGCGCACCGGACAAUCCCGGACUCUUUCUGUUGCUCCCCUUAGGAGCCGAAUAUUCCAGACUUUGGGUGGCCGAAGGGUUACCUUCUGGCCUCGGCGGAUCAAGAGAAAUCCUCCGUGAUGACACUUCAGGGUCAUCCGCCCAGGAGGCGGGGAGACAAGGGGAGGCGUUUCGCUCUCCAUCAUCUCCGGAAGAAGAUCCCCCAAAGACGAACUCUGUCGGGAAGGGCUACGAUCCGGACUGCAAGACAUAUGUCUCGGUUAUUGUCCGCGGAGAUAAAACAGAAUAUAUUUACCAAAAGUACUUUUGUUCACUUACAACUCGGUGGAGGGCUGACCCCUUUGUGGGCACUGUGCGGUAAGGAUGCCCGCCGGGUCAGGGCCCCCUGGCGAGGGUUUCUUCUCUUGUUCGGAAACCCUUGUUUCCAAGUCUUCAGGAGCGGUCCUUUUCCUUCCUUGGGGAGAGGGAAUUUCAGAUUCUUCUCCCCUAUUAUCCUCCUUUGUGGAGGUACUAAUUCCCUCGGUUUGGAUGAGUAAUGCAUGAGGCUCGCUUUCGGCUUUUUCGUCUCUCCCUUUAUCUUCCCCCGAGGGCACUUGAUAAGGUGCGUACUCCAGCAUCCUGACUAGUACAGGAUCCGGCGAGCCUUCGGGAAGGGGAGCCGAACACCUAAUCAUCUUUGCCUUUCUUAUCCAGUCCUGGCCAAGAGCAAUUUUUUUAGAAUUAUGUUAUAACAAAUUAAAAGACAUCGUGUUCGGUCGAGGAAAUACUUACCUGGGUAUCUGGAUGAUUAUAGUUGAGACCCGCAUCCUCGAUGGUGUCCGGACACUUUAUUCGUGAUCUGAAGAGCAAUCCAUACAUCUCUUCGAGCGUCACACCGAAGAACUGCUGAAUAGUUCGCGGUCCUUCCGGGUUGAACUCCCACAUACGGAGAGAUCGACGUUGGCAUGGCAGGACCCGACGAACUAGCAUAACUUGAAUUACUUUGACGAGACUGACAUCCAUCUUGAGGAGAUCUCGGAUGCGACUUUGCAAUGUCGACACAUCAUUAACUGGCCCCCACUCCAGCCCCUUGUUGACCCAUGAUGCCAGUUGUGGUGGGGGUCCUGAACGGAAGGUGGGCAGCCACCCACUUAGUACUUCGGGGAGCUGUGAUGUAAAACCACUCCUGCUGCCAUAAGUUGGACAUCUCCGGGAAGAAACCCUUUGGCCAUGGGGCAUCAACGCCUUUGCUUAUUGAGGCACCUCCGCAUUCUGCGUGUCGCCCGUCGAUCAUCUUCGGCUUCACGUUGAAGGUCUUGAGCCAUAAGCCGAAGUGUGGGGUAAUGCAGAGGAAGGCUUCACAUACGACGAUAAACGACGAGAUGUGAAGGAUGGAAUCCGGAGCUAGAUCGUGGAAGUCGAGCCCGUAAUAGAACAUGAGCCCUCUGACAAAGGGAUCAAGACUAAAGCCUAGCCCUCGGAGGAAGUGAGAAACAAAUACGACACUCUUGUUGGGUCCAGGAGUGGGGAUGACCUGCCCUCGGGCAAGCAGCCUGUGAGCCUUGGGUGUUGGAACUCAGGGUGGGGGAAGGGAGGGAUUAAGCGCGAGAAGAAAAGGACAAGCUUUGGACCCUUUAUAAAGAGGGUGAAUAUCAAGCGUCCUCCACGUGGCCGUUUGGAACUUGCCUAAAAUCGAGGAGUCGUACUAACGAGCAUGAUUGGGUUACCCACACCCAUAUUGAUGAAAAUACCGUGAUAAGGGGACAUGAUCUCUGCUUCGACAAGACGUGCCAAUAAAACCGCCUCGCAACACGUGCAGUAGCGGGCAGGGAAAAACGGUUUGAAUAAUGACCGGGGCCAUGGCAUGAGGUCACGUUAUGAAAAGUUGUCAGCAAAUUAGAUUUAUGGAAAUAUUAUACUCUCUACGGUGGUAUGUGGAUUUUUUUUUGCAGAGCCAGACACUAUCCUUGUGUUCAAAAUCUUCUAUGGAGUAUUCGGAGGAGGAACCCGCCUUGCAAUGCCGAAGACAAUCUGCGUGCCGGACUAGUCGUCAUUGAAGCCUGGUUCAGGGGCUACUGAGGGAGUCCUGGAUUAGGGGGUCCUCAGACAGCCGGACUAUAUCCUUUGGCCGGGCUGUUGGACUAUGAAUAUACCAGAUUGAAGACUUCGUCCCGUGUCCAGGUGGGACUCUCCUUUGCGUGGAAGGCAAGCUUGGCAAUUCGGAUAUGUAGAUCUCCUCCCUUGUAACCGACUCUGUGUAACCCUAGCCCCUUCCGGUGUCUAUAUAAACCAGAGGGUUUUAGUCCGUAGGACGACAACAAUCAUACCAUAGGCUAGCUUCUAGGGUUUAGCCUCUCUGAUCUCGUGGUAGAUCAACUCUUGUAAUACUCAUAUCACCAAGAUCAAUCAAGCAGGAAGUAGGGUAUUACCUCCAUCGAGAGGGCCCGAACCUGGGUAAACAUUGUGUCCCCCGCCUCCUGUUACCAUCCGCCUUAGACGCACAGUUUGGGACCCCCUACCCGAGAUCCGCCGGUUUUGACACCGACACCCUCCAUCUAGGAGAAGACCCCCCAAGUGGAUACAAGCCCUCCACCUAGGAGAAGACCCCCUAGUGGAUUCAAGACCACCUCUUGGAGAAGAACUAGCUACUUGUAUCUUUUCUUUGUUGUCUUUGGAUCUUUUGAUCUCUAUGUGUUCAUGGAUCUAGCAUAUGUGUGAUUGGAUCAAGUCAAUUUGAUGUGUCCUCUUGUUUUCCCCCGUGUUCUUCGUUUUCCUCGCGGGAUCCCCUCCAAAUCGUGAAAGAUCGGCCUUAGGGUAUCCACCCUACAUCAUCUUGGGAUCAUGAGCUAAGGUUGAUCAUGAUUUGGAGCCUUUCCUCUUUGUUUUCUAGCCUCACCUCCGCAGCCACCGAGCCCCUCCAACCUCGUCUACGUGUCCCGACCUCCGCCGUCCUCCCCUACUUCCUCUACGCCGACGGAUUGAACCCGGGGGCAGCUACAAAGACGACCCCGAGCUCUUCGUCCACCUCUGCCUCGCCGGUCGCUGUCGCCAACUCCGGCUGCCAUUGCAGCUCCUAACCUCUCGACAGGCCACCUUGUGACUUCAUGGUGAGCCCCCGUACGAAACCCCUCUCCCAGCGUUUUGUUUGGUCGCCUAUAGCCAUUGUUGCCGUCACCACCGUAGUCUUCGCCCGCGUGCUCACCUACUCGCCGUGGCCAGCUGCGUCGCCCGCUGCAGCCGCGCUGCAUCCUCCUUUGCCACGCGCCGAGACUUCCGUCGCCGCUGCCCUGCUGUCGCUAUUGUUUGGUGCCCGGCUCGCCUGCGCGUCGCGCCCGCGUUGGCCGCAUCUGCCUUGCCGCUCCCACGCUGCUCCUCGCUAACCAGUGCCGUGGCCAACCUCUAUCGUGCUCAUGCGCAUGUGCGCUCGUUUGCCCGCUGUCUCUCGUGCACACCCACGCUGUUCGUUACUAGCUCCGCUGUUGUUGCUGAUUUGCCGAUGCUGCUCCUGCUAGAUGCUGCUGCCACUUCCUGUGCCGGCGUACGCCCGCGCCUGUCCGCAUGUGUGUCCCGCGGCGGCCAGGCCGCGCCCGCGCGUGGCUUGCUGCUGCCACCGCGUGCUACCGCUACUUGCUGCUGACGCUCGUUGGCCUGACUACCGCCGCUCGUCGCCUACUGCCAGCCACGCUUGCGCCACGCCACUACCCACCGUUGCUCUACUUGUACUACUGCUAGUUACUGUAGCUGCUACUUGCUAGCUUUUCUAUUUCUACAAUGGCUAACCCUCUAGUCAGCCCCUAAACAACAUUUAAACAACUGUUAACAUGGCUAAAAAUAAUAUGAGUAGAAAGUAUACUUGACAAACUCCAUUUUAUCCAACUGGACCAAAUCCAUUUGAUGCGUGGAUUAAUUCCUAUGGAAAUCACAAAUUUCUAUGUCUGUUUACAGAAAAACCGUAAAACAACUUUAUUUUCAUAGCUACUUUAGAUUUGUUGAUGAUCAAGCAAAUGAACUCUAAUAUGGAUGAAAGUGAUACUAACAUGUAGUUCACAUAAUGAAAGUGCUAGUUAUCGACUAGAGGGGGGGGGGGUGAAUAGGCGAUUUUUAUGAAAGUCUUCAAAAACAUGAGGUCUUUGAAGACAAACAAUAGAAAUGAACCUAUUGAUAUGCAAUGGAAGGUAGGCUACACUAGACAAGCCAUAGUCAAGAUUGCAAUGAAGUGAAAGCACGAAGACUAUGGGCAACUAGGUAGUAAGGAUCAGGAUGGAAGACAAUAUGAAGCCAAACAGUAAACAGUCUUCACACAGUGAAGUCAAUCAGAUCAUACAUGCAAACCAUGACUUCAUGAAGACAAACCAUAAAGUAAAGGAAAGCGAAGAAUAGAACCAUUUGCUUGGUGAAGACAUGGAUUUGGUAGACCAGUUCCAGUUGCUGUGACAACUGUACAUCUGGUUAGGGAGGCUGAGAUUCAACUUAGAAGACCAUGUCUUCACCUUAUUCCCCUUGAGCUAAGGACACCCAGUCCUCGCCCAAUCACUCUGGUAAGUCUUCAAGGUAGACUUCCAAACCUUCACAGACUUUGUUCACUGGCAAUCCACAAUGACUGUUGGAUGCUGAGACGCGACGCCUAACCAUCUGGAGGAUUCACCAUCCUCAAGUGUAACAAGUCAUCAGCUCACGCAGACAGAAAGACUUCAGUGAUGCAUAACACUCUUUGGCUCUGGGUGUUUAGGGAUUUGUCCUCGCAAGGAUCUCUCUCUCAAAUGCUUCGGAGGUGGGUUGCUCUCAAACGACAAAAGCCGUGCACUAACUCUGAGCAGCCACCAAUUUAUGGUGUAGGGGGUGGGCUAUUUAUAGCCAGGAGGCAACCCGACCUGAUUUGUCCAAAAUGACCCUGGGUCACUAAGGAACUGACACGUGUCCAACAGUUACAUUUCAAACACACGUGACAGCUUGACUUGGGCUACAAGUAAAGCUGACUCAUCCAUCUCUGGAUAAGAUUUGCUCUCAUUGUCUUCGCUCGAAGACAUAGGAUUUGGUUGAGCAUCACAUCAGUCACUCUGAAUUUGUUCACUUGGACCCCACUUAACAGUAUGGUGGUUCCUAUGACUCAACAAAGAAGAAACGGGAACUACGAAACAACUAUGUCUUCGCACUCCAUAGUCUUCACGUGAAUGUCUUCUCAUGUCAGAAUCUUCACUAUGAAUAUCUUCACAAACCACCAUUGUCUUCAAUGUCUUCACACAUUUUUAGGGGUCAUCUCCGGUAGGUAAACCGAAUCAAUAUGGGACUACUACCUGUGUUAUCCUGCAAUUUUCACAAACACAUUAGUCCCUCAACCAAGUUUGUCAUCAAUACUCCAAAACCAACUAGGGGUGGCACUAGAUGCACUUACAAAAUCCCCCUUUUUGGUGAUUGAUGACAAACUGGUUGAAGUUUUCAACGGGGAUAAAAGUAUGUGAACAUUGUAAGGAUUGAGGCAUUGUCUUCAUAAGUAACAAAAGGCUCCCCCUGAAGAUGUGCAUAUAAGUAGUUUGCUUUCGAAUGCAAAUGCACAUGGCAGGUUUUACUUUGUGGAGAUCCUCUUCAACUUAUGAAGACAAUUCAUCAUGCAUGUAAAGAGAUAACAAAGAUAAUGACAUGCAUAAUGAAAAAUGGACGUCUGUGGAAUGGCUUCAUGCGGAAUUUAUCAUCACAUCACAAGGUAGCAAAAAAAGUAGCAGACGACCAUCGAGUUUAAGUGUUACGACUCAAAGAACCAAAUGUUUCAAGAGACAAGAGUUGUAAAGACUUAGCAAAUAUAAUGCAACCACCCAUAAGGACCCGUUUGAAGACUAUCAACUCAUAAGCUUCUCCCACUUUUGUCAGUAAUGACCAAAAAGGUUUGAAGGCAUAGAGUAUCUACUCGUUCCUAGAUGGAGUAGAUGAUGGAGCAGGGUCGACGUUGGAGUUAGGUGGUGCAGACGGGCCUGAUGCAGUGUCGAUAUGCAGUGCAGCAAUGGUUGGUGAAGUGGCAUCGUCUUCUUCAUCGAUGACUCUCGCAACAACAAUUGCAGUCAAAGAUGAAUAGUCAGAUUCUUCAAUAUAUGGAGUGCGACGCCAACUUGCAUUUUAAGGAGGCGUGGAGUAAAACUUGAAGCUCUCGGUGAAGCCAUCUCCACGAAGUUUGUCUUCAGAGCAGAGCAUGGUGAGGCUCUUCUAGGACCGCCUACAGGCUUCAUGUGCAAUGAACGAGUUCUUGGUGGCCAAGUUGCGAAUGUGAUUGACAUCCACCAAGAGACUCUGCAUCUGACGCUUUAGCCAAUCAUGGUGCUUAUCCUGCUUCUGAUGCAAUGCCACACGAAGCUCUUGUUCAUUGAGUACACGAGAAUGCUUCCAAGGCCUUUGGGCAACUGUAUUUGUAGUGGUUUCAAUGUUAGCGCGGUGUGGCAAUCUCAUAUUUCCAGCCAGAGGAUAAGUGGGGGUUGCAGCAUUGGGGACAAGAAUUCCUUCGAUUGGCUACGAGAAACUUUGAUGUUCAGCAUUGUGAAGAUGGAGUGGUUAAUUGGUAGGCUCAGGGUAGAUGGCUUCAACUGACAUAUCAACCUUUGGCAGAAAAAUGACAUGGUUGCGUGCUGAGGGCUGAUAAUCAAUGGUAGAGUGAAGCUUAAUCAAGCGCAUCACCCAUGGAGCAUAGAACUUCAGGCCAAACAGAUCAAUCCCAGAAGUAGCAAGUUGUCUGAUGAAGAAGUCCUGGGUGUUGACUUUGAUGCCAUUGAUGAUAUAGAAUACCAAAGUCUUCAUGGCUCCUUCAAGUUUAGCUUCAGAAGAGUGUCCCUUGAUUGUCCAUAGAGUACGCCUCAGUAUGUGGUAGACGGUGCGUGGCAAGUACUCUUGGUCCUUCACGAAGAAUUCCUUUGGCUAUUCAACAUCUUGAGGUAAUGGCUUCAUCAUCCUGAGCAUCUGACUCAUAUUUGGUUCGGGCCUUUGAAAGAUACACUACAGUUCAUCUCGAUGACGCUGAUAACCAGGCUCGUAUAACUCACCUGGAGUGGGCAGGGAGGUAAGCUCGAUAAUGUCUUGAGCUUUGGCUUCGUGAUGUACAUCACCUGACAUCCACUCAAGGACCCAUGUCUUCGGAUCCUUGUUGUAGCCGCGAAUAUGAAGUCUGGCAUAGAACCGCAACAGAAGCUCUUCAUUCCAGUGCUCUUUGUCUGUCACAAAUGGCAGAAGACAAAUAUAUCCAAAGCAGUCAAGAGCUUCUUCAAGACAAGGCAGCCCAGCUAUAGCAUUGCAGUACAGACGCUGAUGCGGAUAAAUCCGGUCUUGGUUGUAGAGGAUGCAUGAGUAAUAGCUUCGCUGCAGAUGGCUCCGAAAUCUAUCAGAGGAGAUCUUGGGCUUCUUGUAUGGGUUCUUGGCACUAUCAAAGAAGGUGUUGUGUGCCCUAAAGCUUUGCACACAGAAUGAUUCCUGGGUUGUGGCAGCACUUGGAAGCCUUGGCAAUCUGGGCUUUGGCUUCUGCACUUGAGGCCUAUGGUCCACAUAAUAAUCAUAUUGUGGCCUGGGAGCAGUAGGUGGAACCAUAAUCGGCCAUUUGACAGUUACCAAUUCACCUGAUUGAAUGCUUGUUCCAUGGUGUGAGGCCUUCGAGGAGGAAUAGUGUCUUCAUCAUUCUCAUUCGCUGCAGGCUCCACAUUGUCUUCAGCUGUGACUGUGUCAUUGGCUUCAGUGGCAUUAUUGGUGGUAGCCUCAGUGUUAUCUACCUCCACUUGUUCAAUAACAGGAGGGUCGGGCACAAUCACAUUCUCCUCGAGAAUGACUUGGUCAGUAGCUGGGGGUGUGGCAACUCUUUCAUCUUCUCUCUUUUCUUCGUCUUCGUCGGCUGAUGCAGCCGGAAUGUCUUCAGCCACUUUGGCUUCAAUCUCAGAGACAUUCACAGUAGGGGUGGCUUCAGGAAACACUUGACGUGCAACUAAGCUUUGUUGCACUUCCCCUUCUGGAAUGCACGACAUGGUGACCUGUGACCUGGGGCCCUUGCAAAGCCUGCGAUAUGUGGGCGACACCUUUGGUGAAGGAGUGGUUGAGGGAGUCCUGGACUAAGGGGUCCUCGGGCGUUCGGCCUGUUAUCCAUGGUUCGAACUGAUGGGCUGUGAAGACAUGAAGGCCGAAGACUGUACCUGUGUCCGGAUUGGACUCUCCUUGGCAUGGAAGGCAAGCUUGGCGACCGACUAUGAAGAUUCCUUCUUAUGUAACCGACUCUAUGUAAACCCUAGACCCCCCGGUGUCUAUAUAAACCGGAGGGGUUAGUCCGGAAAGGAUAUAUUCAUUACCAUAGUCAUACAGGCUAGGCUUCUAGGGUUUAGCCAUUACGAUCUCUUGGUAGAUCAACUCUUGUAAUACUCAUAUUCAUCAAGAUCAAUCAAGCAGGACGUAGGGUAUUACCUCCAUAGAGAGGGCCAAACCUGGGUAAACAUCAUGUCCCCCGUCUCCUGUUACCAUCAAUCCUAGAUGCACAGUUCGGGACCCCCUACCCGAGAUCCGCCGGUUUUGACACCGACAUUUGUGCUUUCAUUGUGAGUUCCACUGUUUCGUCAACGAGAGGUUCGAUGGCCCCUCUGAUCGUCUAUAGUGACGCCGUCCAAGGAGAAACCUUCCUCCCCAGACAGAUUUUCAUAUUCGGCGGCUUCGUACUCCGGGCCAACUCGCUUGGCCAUCUGGAGUAGAUUGAUAGCUACGCCCCUGGCCAUCAGGUCAGAUUUGGAAGCUUGAACUAUGUCGCGGAUAUCCGUGGAGACUUGAUCUUCAAUGGAUUUGAGACCGCGGCGAUUGCUCCCCCUCGCUCCGAUGAACAUGACCUAAAUCGGUCAUCGGACCAGGUUCUGGAGAUGGUUCCGGUAACUGCUACGACCUUAGAUCCGGAGCAGUUUGCACCAUCCGAAGCCAUAGAGUCUGCAACGUUGGAGCCGCACGCAAACUCAACACCAGGCAAUAUCAACGUCAACGGAAUUUCGGACUCGCUUCCGGCUAUAAGUUCCGAACCUUGCGCGCCCUCGGACACCAAGUUGGAUCGGUUAUCAAUCAUCAAGUUCAGCGUCGCAGAUGUCUUCCAACACUCGCCCUUUGGCGACGUGCUAAUUUCAUUGAAAAACCUAUCCCGAUGGGGGACUCAUGGCCAAACUAUGUCCGGUUCGAGCUAGAGGCUGAUAAUGGAGAAUUUCGCUUCCCACCCGCCACCCACUUCAUAGCCACUGUCGAGGACUUAACCGACAUGCCCGUUUCCGGCUCUGCAAACAUUGACGGUAUAGAUGAUGAUGCCGAUAAGGAGCAAGGCCAAGACCCGCCAGUCAUCAGGCGCGAGAUGGCCACCCCUUCACAUGACGUGUACAUGAUCGAUACACUUAAAAAGCCUCGCGGCAAAGACAAGGGAGAUCCAGUUAAAAAUCCUGAGUCACAGUCUAAGUUUCGGUGCCCCAAACGCCGCCCCAAGUCACGCUGCAACAACAAUGGCACUGGAGAAAAUAGUACUCCGGACGGUGCCGAAAGCAAUGAAGACCCUAUGGGAGCAACACCCGAGCAAGAGGAACAGGAAAACGGGCAAGCCAGCCCCGACGAACAGUCCAUGCCCAGCGACGGUUCGGAGGACGACAACUACCUUCUGCUCUCCAAAGAUGAGGUAAGUGAAACGCCCUCGAUGCGGCUAUAUCUCCCACGUGUCGAAGCACGACUUAGAGGCAUAACUGCAUUGAAAGCAAUGUCGCAAGUGAGGUAAUCUUCACACAACCCAUGUAAUACAUAAGGGAAAGAGAUACAUAGUUGGCUUACAAUCGCCACUUCACACAAUUACAUGAAUAAAGCAUUACAUCAACCAAAAACAAUCAAGGUCCGACUCCAGAACCCAAAAUAAAAGAAGAACCCCAAAUGCGACAAAGGUCCCCGAACGACCCCAAAUGGGCUCCACUACUGAUCAACUAGAACGAAACAACACAAAGGACAAGAUCUUCAUCGAGCUCCUCCUGAGCUUGGUUGCGUCAUCUGCACGGACUCAUCGGCACCUGCAAGCUGGUUUUGGAAGUAUCUGUGAGCCACGGGGACUCAGCAAUCUCGCACCCUCGUGAUCAAGACUAUUUAAGCUUAUGGGUAAGGUAAAGGUAUGAGGUGGAGCUGCAGCAAGCGACUAGCAUAUAUGGUGGCUAACAUACACAAAUGAGAGCGAGAAGAGAAGGCAAAGCACGUUCGAGAAAGUAUGAUCAAGAAGUGAUCCUAAAACAACCUACGUCAAGCAUAACUCCAACAACCGUGUUCACUUCCCGGACUCCGCUGAGAAGAGAUCAUCACGGUUACACACGCGGUUGAUGCAUUUUAAUUAAGUUAAGGUUCAAGUUAUCUACAACCGGACAUUAACAAAUUCCCAUCCGCCCAUAACCGCAGGCACGACUUUCGAAAGUUCAAAUCCCUGUAGGGGUGUCCCAACUUAGUCCAUCACAAGCUCUCACGGUCAACGAAGGAAUAGACCUCCUCCCGAGACGUUCCGAUCAGACUCGGUAUCCCGGUACAACAAGACAUUUCGACAGGGUAAAACUAAACCAGCAACACCGCCUGAAUGUGCCAACAAAUCCCGAUAGGAGCUGCACAUACCUCUUUCUCAGGGCACACUCAGAUUGUCUUAGGUACGGGUAGGCCAGCCCAGAGUUGCCCCUGGUGGUCACCGGCAGCUAACAGGUUGGACCAACACUCAGAGGAGCACUGGCCCGGGGGGGGGGGGGUAAAAUAAUGAUGACCCUUGAGUCCGCGAAACCCAAGGGAAAAAAGGCUAGGUGGCGAAUGGUAAAACCAAUGUUGGGCAUUGCUGGAAGAGCUUUACUUAAGGCGAACUGUCAAGGGGUUCCCAUAAUAGCCCAACCGCGUAAGGGACGCAAAAUCCGGGAACAUAACACCGAUAUGACGGAAACUAGGGCGGCAAGAGUGGAACAAAACACCAGGCAUAAGGCCGAGCCUUCCACCAUUUACCAAGUAUAUAGAUGCAUUAAUUAAAUAAGAUAUAUUGUGAUGUCCCAACAAGUAAACAUGUUCCAACAAGGAACAACAUCUCCAUGUUCCAACAAGGAACAAAACUCCAAUCUUCACCUGCAACUAACAACGCUAUAAGAGGGGUUGAGCAAAGCAGUAACAUAGCCAAUCAACGGUUUGCUAGGACAAGGUGGGUUAGAGGCUUGGUUCAACAAUAUAGGAGGCAUGAUAAGCAAGUGGUAGGUAUCGUAGCAUUGGCAUGGCAAAAGAGCGAGCAUCUAGCAAAGCAAAGAUAGUAGUGAUUUCGAGGGUAUGAUCAUCUUGCCUGAAAUCCCGCAAGGAAGAAGAACGAGUCCAUGAAGAAGACAAACGGACGUAGUCGAACGGUUCCUCACAAACGCGACGUUAUCGGGACCAACCCGAAGAAGCAAACACCUGAAAGAAGCACACAACAUAGUAAACAACCAACACAUGAACAUGGUAUGAUGCACAACCAAGAAAGAUGCAUGUCCGGUUUUAAUGAAACAUGGCAUGGCAAAAUGCACAAACAACACUACAAGUUAAGUGGAGCUCAAUAUGCAAUGAGUUGCAUAUUGACAGAACACCACAUGAAUUAUUUAGUUCUCUCUCGUUUAGGUACUCAACAAUGUUAAAUGUUGUUAUCAUGGCAAGAGAGUGAAGCAAAGUAAAACUACCUAUCUAGUCAAGUUUAAAUGAGGCCGGAAGCAACGAACAACAAUUUCGGAAACUCCUCAUAUGCAUAUAUUAGGUUUGGUACUGUUCUGCCCUAAACAUAAUUUUAUAGUUGUUAAACAUGCAAAGUAAGGCCACCAUGUUAAACUAGGCAUUUUUCUACCCCAUUUACAUAUAAAAAUUGUUAGAUUUGGAGCUACGGUUGAAUAGUUAUGAAUUAAAUCAUUUUUUAAUAUGACAUAGGAGUAAAUUUAACCAAACAUCAUUUUAAAUAUUUUAAACAUGGAUGAAAAUGACAUAUUAUGAAACUAGAUGCAAUUCUAAGCAUCUUUCAUGUUAAGUUUGUUUAAUUCCAAUGCACGGUUUGUGAGAUAUGAUAUGCAUGAAGUAUAGGGUCCAAUCUGUAAAUAUGCAGUGCACCGGAAAUGGUAAAACCAUUGGGCAGAGGGAAACAUAUACACGGGCCAGAGCAACACAGGGCAGCGGCCCGGGAGUGAAGGAGGCCCAAGCGGCUGAGUGGGUGUGCAAAAUUUAAAUAGAACAGAGGGGAAAGGAAAAAUUGGUGUAUCAGGGAUUCGAACCCCAAAUCCCCUGGUUAUAAUCGAGUGCCUCUAGCCACUAGGCUGAAGCUCUGUGUGUGCCCAGAAUGCAGGGGCGCGGCUACUUAUGAAUUGAGGCUCAGUCCUGGAACUCCAUGGACGCCCGGAGGAUCCAGAACUCCGGCGAGCGCUUGCGGCCAGUAGCAGCGGCGGCUUGCGAGGCAGAGUAGCGGAGGGCGUGCGGGAAGCGAGCUGCGCAUGAGGUGUGGGUGUGCUCGCGCAGGAACAGACCACGGGCUCGCGAAAUAAAACAACAGAAGCUCCACAACCUCGCUCAUGGUGGUCGUGCACAAACUCGACCGGAGCGACGCCUACAUGCACGGAUAUGAAAGGUAAAGGAGGGGUUUGCGGGAGGAGCUCACGAGGGGCUCGAAUUCGUUGGCAGGGCGGUCGGAGAAGCAGUGAAGAUGGCUUGGGGACCUGCAGAUCGCCUGUGUUCGUGAAGCAGAGAGCAUAGGGAAGAAGAGGUCUUAGAGGAAAACGAUCGCGUCGGCCUUGGGCCUGUCUGGCUCCUGGCCUGCUUGUAGUCGAAGAAGAUGACGUCGGGGAAGAAGAUCCUCGUGGCGCGCGCGUUGGCUCCCGGCGUGAAGUAGAGGACGCAGGGGAAGAAGAGGGACUUGGCGAAUGCUCUGAUCCGGGAAGAAGAAGACGAAGGGGAAGAAUAUGACGUCGUGGAGGCGGUCUUGGGCUCGCUGCGGUUCGCUGCGGUUCUCGCGGGCGUCGUGGAGGUCGAAGGGAGGCAUCAGGCCGGCAGCGAGCUCCUUGCCUGGCCCGCCAUGGCGUUCAGGUGCUACUCGAGGCAGGAGCAAGGAGACGUGAGGGAGAGCCUCCCUGGAGCGGCGGCGCGGAGGAGGGAAAGAGGAGGAGAGAGGGAACCCUAGGGAUCACAGCGAGGGUUAAAUAGGAAGGGGGGAGGGGCGUACGUGGAGCUCAGGCGUCCACUGUGGCCAUGUGUGAUCCUCCUUUGCUUUUACUGUGAGGGGGAGGUGGUGAGAGGAGAAAGAAAAAGGCGAAGGAAACGGUCGCUGCAGGUGGGUCCGGAUGGGUGUCCAGCGUGGAUUCACCACGGGAGAGAGCGAGGGGACUGCGCUGAGGCUGCUGCUGGGUCUGCUGCUGGACCGGCCUGGUAGAAGGAGGCCCAGGUAGGGCGCUCUUGCUGCUGUCUCUUUUCUUUCUCAUUUUCCUCAGGCAGAAAAUAAACAGAAAAACACAGGGAUAAAAGAGGGGUGUAGGAGAGAUAUAAUAAUAUCCCCGCGACGCUGGAAUUAUGCACUAAUUGAAAUAAAUGCUUUGGGCAUUUUUAGAGAAAGAAAAUUAUCGCAAGUUUGAACUAAAUUCAAACUUGAGGCAAUUUUGAUUCCAACCAAAACAAGUCCACAAGAGCUAAAAAUUGGCAGAGAGGGUUUAGGCAUGGUGAACUAGCAUCAGGAAAAGAAUGAACAUUUAUGGAGGAGGGGGGAAAGGUCACUUUCCAAAAUGAAGGAAAGAAGAAGGAAGGAGGAGGUGAUGAUGCAUGAUUAUACAUGGAGCAUGCAACAAUGUAACAUGCAUGAAUAUGACAGUGCACAUGAUGAUUAUGAGAAUGGAAAAAUGACAAGAGGCACAAAUGCAACAUGACAAAGAUGGGCAUGGCAAUGCAAUAUAAUCAAAUGAUGAACAUGAUGCAAGAAGCAAAAUAUGACAAUGGCACUCAUCGCGAUCAUGGCAACAAACAGAUCAAACACACAACGACAACGAAAAAUAGGAAGACACCUGGCGCAACGGUCUUAGGGCGUUACAGUAAGCCUCGGCGACGAAGACUUCAUCGUACCCGAAGAUCCCCUCGAACAAGAGCGCUUCAAGCGCAGGCUGAUAGCUACGGCAAGGAGCCUGAAAAAGAAGCAACAACAGCUUCAAGCUGACCAAGACCUACUCAACGACAGAUGGACCGAAGUCCUGGUCUCCGAAGAAUACAGCCUUAGUAGCCUAGCCAAAGGCUACCCAAAGCACAUAUUGCUAUACUAGUUCGAUGAAGGGGCGUUGGAGCCCAUACCAUCAUCACAAUGCGGCAGGUCGCCGGCAACUCUGUCCGAAUAAAGAGGCAACUCAAGCCGACCACCAGACCGCCCCACCCCACCAUAAAGGCAGGAACAACGCAGGUCACGAUUACCCAGACGACCUACAGCGAGAAUUGGACAAUAGAGCAGGACACGCAAGACCAAUCUACGGAUCGCGAAAGCAUGCUUUGACACGCGACGGCGGCUACCUAUUCGGACAUGUCAAACCUCGCCACGCCCGAGCCGAAAACCGCUAAGGGACUCCUUCGGAGUUACGUCGCAGUGUGGCCCAGCUAGAGGUGCCGCACACCCCUUUGCUUCAUUGAUGAAGUAAUGGAUCAUGAAUUCCCCGAAGGAUUCAAACCCGUCAAUAUUGAAUCAUACGACGGGGCAACCGAUCCCGCGGUAUGGAUAGAAGAUUUCAUCCUCCACAUCCAUAUGGCCCGUGGGGACGACCUCCACGCCAUUAAAUACCUCCCACUAAAACUAAAAGGGCCAGCUCAGUACUGGUUAAAUAGCCUGCCUGAAAAUUCCAUAGGCAGCUGGGAGGACUUGGAAGAGGCCUUCCUCGAUAACUUCCGAGGAACAUAUGUCCGGCCACCGGAUGCCGAUGACCUAAGUCAAAUUGUCCAACAGCCUGGAGAAUCAGCUAGGGAGCUAUGGACUCGGUUCUUAGUAAAAAAGAACCAAAUCGUCGACUGUCCAGACGCGGAAGCCCUUGCGGCUUUCAGACAUGACGUCCGGGACGAAUGGCUUGCGCGCCACCUCGGCCAAGAAGGACCUAAAUCCAUGACAACCCUCACUUCUCUAAUGACCCGCUUUUGCGUGGGAGAAGACAGCUGGCUCCCUCGUAGAAGCAAUAGCGCCAGCAACCAGGGCACCUCCAAAAUCCGAGACGGCAACGGCAAGCCACGAGGAAGCAAAAACAACAGUCGCAGUGAUAAUGAAAGAUCAGGCGACACAAUGGUCUACGCCGGAUUUAGCAACCCCAAACCCGGUCAGCGGAAGAAGCCAUUCAAGGAAAAUCGAGACGAACCAUCCAACCUGGACAGGAUAUUGGGCCGACCAUGCCAGAUUCAUGGCCACCCCGAUAAACCAGCUAAUCAUACCAAUAGAAACUGCUGGGUCUUUAAACAGGCCGGCAAGCUCAACGCCAAACACAGGGGGAGGAGGCCACCAAGCGACAGGGAUGAAGGAAAGGUUCACCAAUGAAACACCGGGGGUCAGAAGCAAUCUCCACCCGAGGAUCAUCUACUCCUAGAACGGAAAUAGCAACCCGGCUUCGGCCGCCCACUCCACCCACACCUACAAAAUUUGUACCGCGCAUACAUCAUUAUGCACUCAAGAUAUCAUGGGCAUUAGCGGAAGCACAAUACAGACAAGCCUGCAAGCACUCCAGUAACUUUCUUUUAUUACUUAUUUUUUAUUUCUUCCUUCGCUAUCCUUUAAAAAUAGGUGACGAACAUGAUAAACAUCUGAAACUGGCUCUAUCGGAGUUCGGAUCCGUACACUCACCCAAGGGGCUAUUUCCAUCAAGGAUUCCCCCACCGAGGACUAACGACGCAGACGUGCGACAGGAGGUCCUAAACAACUUUUUGUAGACCGCACUCCCUAUUUCUUGAGCCUGUACUAUGCCUGUUCCUCCGCCUCCAACCCCGAGCAUGUCAAAUAGCUGGGCAGAUGGCGUAUAUAUAUAUAUCAUAAGUAAUCAUUGGCAUAUCGCUCAGUUACCAGUCAACAAUAUCCGAACUAAUCAUUCGUAUUGUUUUCCCGACAAAUAUGGCUCGUACGGUUAUUUCACAGAAACACCUUGGCAUAACCUGCCAGGGGCUCGGUGUGGGAACAAAUGAGUUGCCAGUAAAAGUCCGAACAACUCUAUAGCAUACUUCGGCGUCGCAAGUUUGGCCUUAUAUGCAUCAGCUCCGAUGUCUUGGGUCAAUAGUUGGGUUGCCCGGCUGCUGUGCUUGCUACCCUAUGUUUCGCUCUAUCGGCUAGGGUAGUAAAGGGAGAACUACUGCGAUUGUGCCCUGGUCUAAACUGGACGAGCACCUCAGUAGAGAAAGCCGAAAACUGACUUUCAUGAUGCGGCGUGAGCUAGUCAACCACUUGAUGACUUAUUGGAAUCUUUAGCGAUUCUCUGUGUCACACGAGGGAUCUUUUUUAGAUCAAAUAUGUAAGGCACCAUACGCCGCAUACAUACCAGGGGCUAUGUCAUAGCCCCACCAUAGAACUCCUAUGGCUAAGUGAAAGUGUUAAUGCCUUAUAGUCCGAUUGCCUGGUUCGCCGCAUUAUCACCUCCUUCAUGGACCAAGACGUUGGAUAAAGAGUGAUUAAAUGCUUUUCCGAACACCCCCGUACUUCCUACGAGGGGGCUGAAGCCGACGACUAGAAAACUUUCAGAUUAUAUCAAAACGACCGCACAGGAGGAAUUCAAGCUUUCAAGCAAAACAUAAAUAGAUUGACUAUAAAAUUGUCUUUCACAAUUUUCAUACACCUCACUCGAACAUUAUGUCUUUUGAGCACUGACCCUCUAUAAAGCGGGUGGCCUCUAGGACGUCGUCAAAAUAAUGCUCCGGCUCCGGAUGGUUCUUUCCUUUGGGUGGACCCUUUGUCGCAACAUCGAUGGCCUUCAUAUUCCCCCAGAACGUCUUGACUCGGGCAAAAGCCAUCCGUGCACCCUCAAUGCACGUUGAUCACUUCACAGCGUCUAUAUGCGGUACCGCGUCAACAAGACUUUGCACCAAACUGAAAUAGCUAUUUGGAACAGGCUCGGUUGGCCACAACCGGAUUACGACAUCCUUCAUGGCAGCGCCAGAUAUCCUAUGAAGUUCGGCCCAUUGGGACAUCUGUUCAUUGAGCAACAGAGGGUGCUUUGAUGCGCCAAACUGCAACCAAAAAAGCUUCUCCAUUGCAUAUCCAUCUCGCGAUUGGUAAUACUGCGCCGCAUCAGCAUAACUCUUCGACAAGUCCAAGAACUCAUCCAGAGAACUCCAUACUUGGUUAAGCUGGGCAUAGUUCGGGUCACCGAACUUAGUUUGCAACAGAAAGGGCUUUCCAGCCGCAAUCUCCCUCGCCUGUCGAACCUCCUCACGGGCUACUCUGCAUUCCGACCGCGCUUCUGUCGCCUCUUGUAAGGCCUUGUCUAGAUCAGGCGUUAAGGCUUUACUCUCCUUCUCCAGAAAUUCAUAGCGGCCGGUAGCAUUCUCCAGUUCGAGCGUCAUCGUGGAUAUCUUCUCCUCAUCUUGGCGCCGUGUUGCUUGUUCAGCUUUUAAUUCAGCCGAUGCCUUUUCAGUAGCAGCAUUGCUACGCCGGGCCUGCUACUUGGCCUGGGCCAGCUCCGCUCGAAGAACUUCAACGGCGGCAGCACCAUGUGCAGCCAAAUCUCAGCAUCAUGCUUAUACCACAAAAAUGUAUGAGGAUUGCCCGAAUACAUACCUUGUGACUCGUCCAGACGCAUAUUGAUUAAAGCAAGAUCAUCCCCCGCCACAUCAAGCUUUUGCUGCAAAUCGGCAAUCUCCAUAGUCCAGGAAGUGGCCAAGGGGGAAGCAGCCUGUGUUCAAAGUUCAUCAGGUUAGUCCUCAAACAAUCCUUUUCGAUCCUUCGUUUGCUUCCUAGUGGAAGCCAACCCGAGUAUUAGGGGCAACUACCUAUAUAGAGGCGCAUCUUUGCAAAUGAAACAUAGCUGAAAACAUUAUGUCACAAACCUCGAAGCCCUUUAGUAGGCUCAUGAAGGCUUCAUUUAAUCGGCUCUUCACGGACGAAAUCUUCUCAAUCACUGUACCCAUCAAGGUAAGCUGUUCCCCCGAGACAGAUGCUUUCCGCAACAUGUCCUGCAAUAUCCAGAGUCUCUGGGUUUCCCGAAGCUGCGCCAGGAGCACAAUCAUCCUUUGAAGGAAUCUGUUCACCCGUAUCGAGAACCACUAUCGGCUGCGAACCAGUCAGUCCAGGACCUUUGUUAUCAUCAGCCCUGGAAUCCCGGAUGGUCGGUGGUCCAUCUUCGGGUACUGCCUCUUCUGUCCCCUGUGUAACUUGUUGGUCAAAAGGGACCCUCCGUGAUGACACUUCAGAGUCAUCCGCCUUGUUGGGCGAGGAGGUUGGAGGAGGCGUCUCGCUCUCCAUCAUCUCUGGGAGGAGACUCCCCGAAGAAGAGGAUCACCCAGAAAAACUCUGUGCCGACCUGUAAAAAUGCAUGAAUGCGUUACAUAUAUCUUCGGUAACAGCAACGGAGCGGGACACUAUCAAAGUACUCCAGAUUCUCUUAAGGUUUGGCCGAGGGCUUGUCCCCUUGUUGGAGCUGUUUAACGACGUGACUUUCCAAACCCAGGGCGCUUGACGGUGGCAUCUUGCCCUUCUUGGAAGACCGCCCCUCCCAAUCUUCGGAAGCGGCCCUUUUUCUCCUGCUUGGAGAAGGGAUAUUGGGUCCUUUUUUGCCUCCAUCUUCGGGGAGGAAAGGUCGAUUUCUCCGGACUCAGUUCCCGACUUACCUCCGGAACCAAGGUCAUCUCGGGCCUUCUCGCCCUCCCCUGCCGGUGCCUAGUAUGGCGCCGAGGCCAACAUCUUUGUUAACACAGGAGUAGUUGAGUAUUCGGGAAGGGGAGCCGGACACCUAAUCAGUUCCACCUUCUUUAUCCAGCCAUGAAAAGGAUGAUACUAUUGGUAUCUUGCCACUGGGUAUCUGACUAUAAGGUAUUCGGUAAACGGAUACUUACCGGAGUAUCCGAAUGGUUAUAGUCUAGGCCGACAUCUUCGGUGGUGUCCGGCCAUUGCCUUCGUUUCCCGAAGAAUAAUCUCCACAUUCCUUCGUGUGUUGUGUCAAAGAAGUGCUGAAGAGUCCGCGACACUUCUGGAUUGAACUCCCAUAGGUGGAGAGGCCGUCGAUGGCACGGCAGGGUCCGACGAACUAGCAUUACUUGAACGACGUUGGCUAUGUCAAUGUCCCUCUCAAUGAGGCUUCGGAUGCGACUCUGCAGAGUUCUCACAUCAUUCGUUGAUCCCCAAUCUAGCCCCUUGUUAAUCCACGAUGCAAACUGAGUUGGGGGGGGCUGGAUCGAAAUGCAGGCGCAGUUGCCCACUUGGAGCUGCGGGGCUUGGUAAUAUAGAACCAUCCCUGCUGCCACAGAUCGGAAAACUUGGCGAAGGAUCCUUUUAGCCAAACGGCACUAGCAAGCUUGCUCACUGUAGCGCCGCCGCACUCGGCCUGCUCUCCCUCUACCACUUGUGGAUUCACAUCGAAGGUCUUGAGCCACAAACCAAAGUGCAGAGUAGUUCAGAGGAAGGCUUCGCAUGUGACGAUGAACGCCGAGAUAAGAAGAAUAGAGUCCGGGGCCAGAUCAUGAAAAUGUAGCCAGUAAUAGAACAUGAGCCCUCAGACGAAGGGGUUAAGUGCGAACCCUAACCCGCGGAGGAAGUGGGACACGAACACGACCCUCUCGCCGGAUCUGGGGGGUGGGAAUAACUUACCCCUCAGCAGGAAGCUGGUGAAGGAUUUCUGUGGUCAGGUAUCUCACUGCCCGAAGCUUUGCGAUAUCUUCCUCAGUGAUAGAAGAAGCUACCCACCGGCCUUGACGGCUGGAUCUGGACAUGAUUGAGGCUUGUGGCGACCGAAACCCAGGUGUUGGAACUCAGGGUUGCAGGGGUCAAGGAAGAGGCAAGCGUAGAAGAAAAAGACAGGUCUGUACCCCUAUAUAAAGGCUGCAAAUAUCAAACGUAUCCUCUUGGGCCUCAAAAACUUGCUUGUUUCCAAGGAGUUGUACCCCAGCGACGGUUGGGUUACCCACGUCUGGGUUGACAGGAAUCCCUUAAAAAAGGGAGGCACGAUCUCCGCUUGGAUAAGAUGCGCCAAUAAAGCCGCAUCUUGGGACGUUGGGUGAUGGGCCAGCUAAAACGGUUCCUAAGUAGUGGCCGGGCAGGCGUGGUGUUAUAUUAACAAAAAGUGGUCAAUGGGUUGAACUCGUAAAAUAUUAUGUCCUCUGUGGUUGUGUAUACAAGUCCGGAUACAAUCAUCACAUCUGAAGAUCAACAGGGAGUUCGGAAGGGGGAACCCGUAUUGCAAUGCCGAAGACAAUCUGCGCGCCGGACUCCUCGUCAUUGAAGCCAGGUUUAGGGGCUACUGAGGGAGUCCUAGACUAAGGGGUCCUCGGGCGUCCGACCUUUUAUCGAUGGGUCGGACUGAUGGGCUGUGAAGACAUGAAGGCCGAAGACUGUACCUGUGUCCGGAGACUCUCCUUGGCGUGGAAGGCAAGCUUGGCAACUGACUAUGAAGAUUCCUUCUUAUGUAACCGACUCUAUGUAAACCCUAGAUACCCCCGGUGUCUAUAUAAACUGGAGGGGUUAGUCCAGAAAGGAUAUAUUCAUUACCAUAGUCAUACAGGCUAGGCUUCUAGGGUUUAGCCAUUAUGAUCUCGUGGUAGAUCAACUCUUGUAAUACUCAUAUUCAUCAAGAUCAAUCAAGCAGGACGUAGAGUAUUACCUCCAUAGAGAAGGCCCGAACCUGGGUAAACAUCGUGUCCCCCGUCUCCUGUUACCAUCAAUCCUAGACGCACAGUUCGGGACCCCCUACCCGAGAUCCGCCGGUUUUGACACCGACAGUGGCCCGCACCAUGUAGUUGUCGUCGUCAAGCACUAGAGUGGUGACUUGAGGAGUUGGAGUUCUUGGUGUCUCGUCAUGUACUGGGGUGUCUUGCUGAGGGCGCUUGGCCCAUGAUCCAUCCUGAGCAUUUGGCGUCAAAGGACGACCAAUGCUGAUAAGUUCACUGUUCGUAAGAACAGGCAAUGAUAUCGACUGGGCUGGAGCUGAGGAAGGACUACAUCAUCAUCAACAUUGUCUUUACGACCAAUGUAUUUAGAUGCGUUGGGGUCAGCAGUUGGAACUUCUUCACUUGCAUGAGCCUAUGUGGAAGCAGGCUCAUGGAUCACAAGACGAUGCUCUUGAUUGGUCGAGGCAGGAGGAUAAACAAAGAGGGGUUCAACAUUGAGGGGUUCUUGGGCUGCAACAUGCUCUUUCUUUGAAGACUUUGAAGCCUUUGUCUUCAAUUUCUUCUUGGAGGGAGCAUCAUUAGAUGUAUCUUUGUGCUUGCGUUUCCUGUCUUCAGCUUCAGCUGCCCUUGUUUUCUUCAGCUCUGAAGCCGCUGAGGUGACCUUAGGCUUCAAGCCUAUCAUGCUGGCAGGGAAGACAAUGUGAGGUUCUUCCUGCCUUGGGACUUCAGUUUGGGCUUCAGCAGACUUCUUCUUUGGCUUGGCAGCCAUUCUGGGGUCGAUGCCAGGAUGCCCAAGAGCCUUGCACUUUUUAGCUUCAUUGUGGGCUUGAACACACUUCUGCGCAUAAUACUUCAUGCGCUCAUGAGAGCCUUUGUCUUCUUCCCUCUUCUUGUGAAACUCGUCCUUGAGGUCAUGCAACAUCUUCUUGAAGAUCUGCACAUCAACCACACUGAGCUUGGUCAUAUUCUUCUUGAAAUGAGCCUUCUCAUAAUCAAUCUUGUUCUUGAGUUCAACAAUUUUCUGAGCCAGGGCCAACUCAUUAGCAAUGGCUCCGUGAAACGUGACACUUAUGUCCACAGGCAGCUGAAGAUCAUCAAUAUUGAUGCUUUGGUCAUCGAACCACUCAUUGAUGAAGUUGUUCAGAAUGUCAACAUCAAAGAGGGGUAGAUCAUUGAAGAUCUCCGCCUCUUUCUUGCUCUUGAUAAGAAUCUCUAGAGCAUCAUCACCAAGAUCUUUAUCACUCGACAGAUCAAUGGUGUCUUCCUCGUUGCAUAGAACAACAGCAGGAGUCAGUUCAUGCCUAGAAAUUUUCUUGGGCUUCUUAGUCUUCUUGGUCUUCUCAGUUUUCUUGGAUAUACGAGACAAAUCUUCAGACUGCACACUGGGUUCAGGAGGUGCAGUGGUCAACGGCUUCACAGUCGAAGCUUUUGGUGUGGUAGAGGGCUUUGAAUCUUUUGACAUCUUUUUCUUUUGCUUCGGUGGAGCAGGUGCAUCUUUGGAGUUUGCGUCAUCAGCUGUUUGCUCCACGGUGGCCCUCUGAGCAGCAAUGUGGGAGAGGAGCCCAUCGAAGCUGGUGAAGGGGCCGAUGACAUUCGAAAUGGCAUCACGAGUGCCAUCCUGUCUUGGAGCAGAUGGACCAGGGUUGAAGUUGAGUCCAAGAUCUUUCUUAUUCUUCACAGCUGACUCCUUUGCAAAUUUGUAGUUGCGUUUGAACAAAAUGUUGUCAAGACACCAUAAUAAUGAUGAUGGGUCGGCAUUCUCUGGCUUUGGUCCAUGGACCAUGCAUGGGUAGAAGCCUUGAGCAAUGGCUUCAGGCUUUGACUUUGGCUGCAGAUUCCUGUACAGAAUAUCUCCCCAUGGGCGCUUGAUAGCAUUCUUCUCUGCAUAUUCAGGGGUUACGAAGUUAUACUUGAACCACUGUUCAACCCAAUAUCUUUGAAUCCAUUUGAUUCGGGUCUUGCGUUGACCGUAACUUUCCUCAUGAUCUGACUUGUACAAUUCAUACAGAUCCGGAGGCGGAUCUAGAGCUGUGUUGCCUCUGUGCUGCCUGCCACCUUUUCUAGCAGACUUUUCUAUGGCCAUGAUAUUUAGACUGAUUUGCUUCAGAACAAUGAAAGGCUUUCGUCUACUGGUCAGACAAGAAUUGGCUUCAGGGGAGUGAAUGUGAUGCUGUAAGAACUCUGCAAAUGAAUGCAGACUAUGAGAACCAAGGGAUUCUCCCACGGACAUGUACCUGUGACAGCAUUAGAGGUGCGAGGGAAGGGGAAGAGGUCAUAUGCGUUCUCAGAAGAUUUUGAAGAUAAAUCAGUUUGAAGACAUUCACCUCAUAGAGCGAAGACAUUCACUUAUUUGAAGAGAGUUGGUUCCAGAUUUGUACAAAUCCAUAAAUAAGUACAAGUGAGGAAUCUAACUAGUUAUGAAGCAUAAGUGAAUACCCUUAGCAUAAUAUGAGAUGCAGAUAAAGACAGAUCCAGAUUUGGAAGUGUAGAAACCACUUUUGGUCGAAGUGGAUGGAUUUGACGGAUCAAAAGGUAGUAAAAAGUGAGGUUUAUUUACCACUAGCGAACUGCUAGACUAGGCAGAGUUUGAAGCCGAGUAGUUCAAUCUCCCGCGCCCUAACUUGGCGGCGGAAGACAUCUACGGCAGCAGUGGAGAGGACGAGGUCCGCAACCGGCGUGAGGCCGGCGUUGAAGAUGUCAUGGCAGCCAAGCGCUUCGUCUCCGGCGUCGACGUGAGCUAGCGGAGGCGCUUGGGUUUGAGCGAGGUGGCGAGGUGGAAGAAGAGAUAAUGACCGCGCGGGGUGUGUAUUUAUAAGGAAAGGGACUGCAUAGUGUAAUUACACAGGUGCCCCUCGCGGUUCACAUCUGAAGGGCACGUGGCAUGCAUGCAACUUAUUGGAAGUUGUUCCAUGUUCCCACGCAUGCCUGGAUUGUCGGGUGGUCGUUCCGGCUUCUUCGGUAUUCAGGCAAAAGGGAUAUGGCAUUAAGACAGAUUUAAAUGUUUGUCUGUGUGUCUUCUGCUGACAAGGACUCAGAGAAGACAUUCGACGGGUUUCAACAGAGUGCAUAUGACUUGGAUAGACAGAGUUUGAGGUAGAAGUAUAUAAGGGGGUUAGGGUCCGAUCACAUUCACUUAGAUCAGAAAAAUUCAAGUGUGAAGACAUAGCUAUAAGUGAAUGCUGUAGAGGACAUAACACACACAUACACACACACACACACACACACACACACACACACACACAUAUAUAUAUAUACCAGUAUAAGACCAACUCAACAUUGUGAAGAUAAACCUCAAGGUCAAAUCAAUGUUGAAGACAAACCAAAUGCGAAGACUAUGCAAUUAUGACGCCAAAAGAAACAUUUCAAAAUGAUUUUGGUGGUGGCGUUACCCACCGUACAGGAAGUAUUAGACCCAGACAUGGAGCACAAUUAUUGUGCCGAUCCAAAGUCAAAUUCCGCGUUAAUGUAUUCACACUUAGAGUGUAUGUCUUUAUUGAUUGAAGAUAUACGUCACUUCAUGUGUUGCACAUCUAAGUCAUCAACAUGCAUAAGCGUUAGGAUGUGUGUCCACUUACAGGACAUUUGAGGAUUCUAAGAUAUUUAGCUCACACCGCAACUUGCAAAACCUUUUUUCAUCCAAGGGCUUUGUGAAGAUAUAUGCCAGUUGUUCUUCAGUGUUGACAUGAAUGAUAACAAUAUCUUCCUUCAUGACAUGAUCUCUGAGAAAGUGAUGAUGGAUCUGAAUGUGCUUUGUCUUCGAGUGCUAAACUGGAUUAUUGGCUAUCUUGAUGGUGCUUUCAUUGUUGCAGUAGAAUGGCACUUGCUUCAGGUGGAUGCCAUAGUCCUUGAGAGUUUGCUUCAUCCAUAGAAGCUGAGCGCAGCAAGAUCCAGUAGCAAUGUAUUCAGAUUCAGCAGUGGAGAGGGAUACACAGUUCUGCUUCUUUGAAGUCCAAUAGACAAGAGAUCAUCCAAGAAAGUGACAUGUGCCUGAUGUGGACUUGCGAUCAACCUUGUCACUAGCAUAAUCAGCAUAUGAGAAUCCAACUAGAUCAUACUCUGAGCCCUUUGGAUACCAUAAUCCUAGUGUUGGGGUGUAAGCCAAAUAUCGAAGAAUUAGCUUCACAGCUAAGUGAUGCGAUUCCUUUGGUGCCGCUUGGAAUCGGGCACACAUGCAAACGCUAAGAAUUAUAUCUGGCCUAGAUGCACAUAAAUAGAGUAAAGAACCAAUCAUGGAGAGGUAUACCUUUUGAUCGAACUCUUUACCAUUGUCGUUGGGGCCCAGAUGACUUUUGGUUGGCAUUUGCGUCGUGUAUCCUUUGCAGUCUUGCAUUCCAAACUUCUUCAGGCAAUCUUUGAGGUAUUUUUCUUGUGAUAUGAAGAUGUCGUUGCUCUGCUGAUGGAUUUGAAGACCAAGGAAGAAUUUCAGCUCACCCAUCAUGGAGAUCUGAUAUUGCUCUUGCAUCAUAUGUCCAAACUCAUCACUGUAUUUCUUGUUAGUGCAGCCGAAGAUAAUGUCAUCCACAUAGAUUUGGCACACAAACAGUUCACCAUCAUAUGUCUUUGUGAAGAGUGUGUGAUCCAGGGAACCAGGAUUGAAGCCUUUGCUCUUCAGGAAGUCUUUGAGUGUGUCAUACCAAGCGCGAGGGGCUUAUUUGAGGCCAUACAGUGCCUUGUUGAGCUUGUAUAGCAUGUCAGGAUGCUUUGGGUCUUCAAAACUAGGUGGUUGUGCAACAUGCACUUCUUCUUCAAUUUUGCCAUUGAGAAAGGCACUCUUUACAUCCAUUUGAUACAGAAGGAUGUUGUGAUGGUUGGCAUAGGCUAGCAGUAUGCGAAUGGCUUCAAGCCUAGCCACCAGAGCAAACAUUUCAUCGAAGUCAAUCCCUUCUACUUGAGUGUAACCUUGAGCAACGAGACGAGCCGUGUUUCUGACGACUUGACCAUGCUCAUCUUGUUUGUUGCAAUAGAUCCAUUUGGUGCCUAUGAUGUUGUGCUUGCGAGGAUCAAGACUCUUUACUAGUUCCCUAACAUUCUUCAGCUCGAACUAUUGAAGCUCUUAUUGCAUAGCUUGAAUCCAUUCAGGUUCCAUGAAGGCUUCAUCAACUUUCUUGGGUUCAGAUAUAGAGACAAAUGCAAAGUGUCCAUAGAGAUUUGCUAGCUAUGUUGCUCUUGAUCGAGUCAGUGGACCAGGUGCAUUGAUGCUAUCGAUUAUCUUCUCAUUCUGUACUUCAUUUGCAACACGAGGAUGAACUGGACGAAGAUUUUGCUCUUGCUGAUCAUUGUCUUCAUCUUCAGCAUUAACUUCAGGCUGACCAGUGUCUUUGGGUUGAUUAUGUGCAAAAAUGAUGUUUUCUUCUUCAGCCUGUGCUUCUAAAGGUAUGAUUUCUCUAGUUCCCAUUUAAGCUAACUACGUCGCAAUGGCUCCACAACUAAGUCCUUCCACUAGGAGAUCUGCCGUGACAAGUCCAUGAUAGUUGGCGCCCACCGUGGGCCUACGCACGGUGGUUUUGAGUUCUUGAAGGGCAUCUUUGAAGGAAUCAAGGGGUAUGCUGUGGGCCGGAUGACCAAGAGUCGUCGCGGCAAGCUCUACAUCGAUGACGCAGGCUGGGGCCCCGAGGCGGCUCAAUUGAGUACGGGUACCGGGUCCCCUUCGGCGGAAUCCACGUCUUCAUCGGCUAGAUCGGCGAACCGGGCCUUGAGCCAGAAAUCUGGACCGACAUCAUCGAGAUGGCUCAGUGUGCACGACCCGCCCGGGUUCAACCCGUCGUGAAGCAUGCCUUUGUCAGAUUUAUCCAUGGGGAUGAAUCGGAAGGCUGAGUGUCUGGUGGUGAGACGGACAUCUACUCCUAUGGUGAAUCGUCCACAGGCGAGACCAACUCAAUAUAUCAACUACAAGACAGACGGCUUGGGGGCUGUUCUGAUGGUGACAGUAUUCUGGACCCCCAUGAGCCGCCGAACAAGGUGGCGAUCUUCAUGGCUGGCACCCAGCCGGUUCUCGGUUCGACAGCCGCCGCGACUAUGACUUCCAGCAUAGCGGCGACAACGGCAGUAGGUACUGGUGGAUCAGCACGCCCGCCGGCUCAAGUUUUAACAGAUAUGUUGGAGAGUCUGGCAACUCUGAUGGAGGUGGAGGUAACCCCGGACAACCAGGAACAACAUAAGGUGGAUGUGGCUAAGCUGCGUGAUGAGAUAGCGCAAGCCAAAGUAGAGCUGGCGACGAAAAAUGCUAGGAUGACCGCAGAGCGGGCCGUUUUAAACGCCCAAGCACAACGGGUUCAUAUCGGCUCACGUUGAAUCAGAACGCUUCAAACGAAGUCUUGAGGAGAAAACACCAUAGUUGUCUGCCCUUGGUUUAUGAAUCGAGAAACCUCUUCAACACGCCUGGAGCGGGGUCCAGUAACCCGCUGAUGGUAAACCAGAUGACUAAAGCGCCAGGGGGUGGAGUGCCGGUUCAGCCGCGCGUGACGGUUUCCCCGCAUAUGAAUAACACCCCACCUCAACACAUGGUGAUGCCGCCGGGUCAUUAUUCUAACCCUUUGGACAAUAUGAUUGCUGCUGCUACGCGAUUCGCGGCUUUGCCAGUCGAGGGCGAGUCUCCAACAGCAGUUGAAACCCGAAGGGCCAAGGAACUUCUUCAUACCGCGCUGGUACAACAGCAGGCUUACUCUUACAUUCGUGAUCGGGUACACUCAACCCCUCGUCCAAGCCGGAGCUAUAGCAGGCACAUUAACUCGCCAGCAGUUUCGAGUACUGAGCAGCGUCGUAACCAACCUCGUGGGCAGGACCCGGCGUGCAAUGGUGCCAAUGCACAGAAUUUGGUGGAUCAGGGCAGAGUGCGCCGGGAGGCCGAGCUGGCGGCUCAUCAGCACACACCGGUUUACCCGACGACUUCGGUAGAGGCAGGUGUGGCCUCUAGAACUUGGGGAGUGCUAUGUUUAACGCCGGCUCUGUGUAACAAGCGUUUGCCCAAGGACUUUAAGGGCCCUCAUAAGGUGCCUAAUUACACAGCAGAUCAGCCCCCUGAGGCUUGGGUGGAGAGUUAUGCGAUGGCUAUGGAGAUGCUGGAUGUUAGUGAAGCUGCAUAUGCUAAGUAUUUCACCAUGAUGCUGGAAGGGACGGCUCGUACUUGGUUGAAAGGGCUUCCCAACAACUCCAUUGGGUCGUGGGCAAAGCUGAAGGCCCGGUUUAUUCAAAAUUUCAAAGAUACGUGCAAGCAUCCUAUGUCGAUCGUGGAUUUAGUUUCUUGUGUUCAAGCUGAGGGCGAGUUAACAACCAGCUGGGUGCGCUAGGUCUCAAUUAUCAUACAUUCUUCAGAUAAUAUCAACGUCGGCUCAACGGUUUUAAUGUUGGAGAAAAAUUGCUGGUUCCUUCCACUCAAGCAGAAGCUUAGGUGGCUUAAGCGUCAUUGCAGUGACAUGGGGGAGCUCAUGGUGGCUCUAGUCAAGUAUGCCGACUCUGAUAGUACCAAGGACCCCGACUCAGAGGAUGAAAGAUCGGGAAAGGGAAGGAAGAGUAACGGUAUGAGGGGACAACAGCACAACCCGGCCAAUCAGGGCGGCAACGGUAAGCGCAAAGCUGAUGAUUUUGUGGCUAAGACCGGUGCAUGGAGUUAUAACCAGCAUCGUAAAGGGAGGCCGGCUCAAGGGACUAAAUUUGACCUUGAAGCAAUAAUGAAUCAGCCAUGUCCGAAGCACGGAACACAGGAGAAGCCAUCUGCCCAUCUGUGGAAGGAUUGCAGUAUCAUGAGACAAUUCAAGGAGUCUUUCCAGCACAACCAUGGUCUGAAUGGCAGUUCAGGGUCUGGCCCUCAUGGUCCGGGUCAUGGAGGCGGCGGUUCAAAUUCCGGGUUUCAAAGCCAAGGCAAUCAAGGUGGUUACAACCACCAGAAUAAUCAAGGGAGUCAGCAGCAGCAAUAGUCGGGUUAUCCGAGCAAUCAGAAGCAAUUGAACAGUGGACAAUACCACGUCUUCACCACUAGCUUAUGUAAGCGGGAUCAGAAGCUUCACAAAAGGCCAGUGAAUGCUGUUGAGCCAGCGGUACCACAUUACUUGUGGUAGUCAGAGCAGCCUAUAGUGUGGAGUCGUGAGGAUCACCCACGCCGAGUUGACAAUCCGUGUCACCUCGCUCUAGUGGUGGCACCUCACGUUGGGGGCUAUAAGUUUACUAAGGUGCUCAUGUAUGGAGGCAACAACAUUAAUAUAAUUUACUAUGAAACCUUCCGUCGCAUGGGACUGACCAACAAAAAUCUUAAGCCAUCAAACAGUGUUUUUCACAGUGUGGUGCCUGGGAAGUCGGCAUAUCCGGUGGGUAAGAUAUCGUUGGAGGUUGCUUUUGGAGAUGAGUAUGAUUCCAGAUCUGAGGCGCUGACCUUCGAAGUGGUUAAAAUCAAGAGCCCUUAUCAUGCUCUGUUUGGGUGGCCGGCUUAUGCUAAAUUCAUGGCGAGGCCUUGUUAUGUUUACUUGCAGCUUAAGAUGCCAGGUUACAAGGGCACCAUCACAGUGCAUGGGAGUCGCAAGGUGGCUUUGGAGUGUGAAGAAGGCGAUGCUGCUUAUGCCGAGUCUGUUUGUGCAAUGGAGGAGCUGAAAUUUUACAAAGAUAAUGUUGGCCCGGCGGAUAUGACGUCCUUGAAAAAGCCAACCACAUAGCAUGAUCCUUUGCUAAAGUUUAAGUCGGCAGAUGACACUCAAGUGGUUGAUUUUGUUCCUGGCGACUCAUCUAAGUAGUUCAGCAUCAAUGCUAAUCUGGAUCCGAAAUAGGAAAGCGUGCUCAUCGAGUUCAUCCGUGAGAACCGAGACAUCUUUGCAUGGAAGCCUUCAGACAUGCCAGGUGUACCGAGGGAACUCGCUAAGCACACUCUUAAUAUUGAUCCGAAGUUUAAGCCGGUCAAGCAACUCCUUCGUCGUUUUAACGAGGAGAGGCAGAAGGCCAUUGGUGAAGAAGUGGCCCGGCUCUUGGCGGUCGGGUUUAUCGUUGAAGUUUUUCAUCCUGAGUGGUUGGCUAACCCGGUGUUGGUGCUUAAGAAGAAUGGCACUUGGCGAAUGUGUGUGGAUUACACGGACUUAAACAAGGCUUGUCUAGCUGAUCUGUUUGCUCUCCCUCGUAUUGAUCAAAUCAUUGAUGCUACAGCGGGUUGUGAGCGUUUGAGUUUUUUGGAUGCUUAUUCUGGUUAUCAUCAGAUCAAGAUGGCAGUUAAGGACUAGGAGAAGACAACUUUCAUUACUCCAUUUGGAGCCUUCUACUAUGUGUCCAUGCCUUUCGGGCUCAAGAGUGCCCAGGCGACUUACCAGCGGUGUGUGCAAAAUUGCCUUCACAAUGAGACUGGGCGUAAUGUUCAUGCUUAUGUAGAUGACAUUGUGGUGAAAUCCAGGAAGAAGGAUACCCUGAUUGAUGAUUUGAAGGAGACAUUUGACAAUCUCCGGGUCUAUAAAAUGAUGCUUAACCCAGCCAAGUGUGUUUCUGGUGUACCGGCGGUAAGCUUUUGGUUUUUUUUUGGUUUCAGACCAAGGUAUCGAAGCUAACCCAAAGAAAAUCAAAGCUAUUACUUCCCUGGCUAAGCCAAAGUGUGUUAAUGACGUCCAACACUUGGCAGGUCAGAUAGCGGCCUUGAGCCGGUUCAUAAGCCGCUUAGGAGAAAAGGCUAUCCCUCUGUACCAGAUGAUGAAGAAGACAGAUAAUUUCGUCUGGAGUGAUGCUGCCGAUGAAGCAUUUGAGGCGCUUAAGAAGCAACUGGCUGAGCCGCCGGUUCUUGCCGCUCCUAUUGAUAAGGAGCCUUUGUUGUUAUAUGUGACUGCCAAUGGCCGCGCUGUCAGUGUGGCCAUUGUGGUGGAAAGGAAAGAGGCAAGCAAGGAGUAUCCGUUUCAACGGCCGGUUUACUACAUUAGCGAGGUACUUAUUGAGUCUAAGCAGAGGUAUUCACAUUGGUAGAAGCUUGUGUAUGGGGUUUUCAUGGCAAGUCGAAAGCUCAAGCAAUAUUUUCUGAGUCGUCCCAUUACUGUGGUUAGUUCUGCUCCUUUGGGGGAUAUCAUCCAAAAUAGAGAGGCCACAGGUCGGGUAGCCAAGUGGGCCAUUAAGCUUGUACCUCAUGGUUUAAAAUAUGUGCCUCGUACGGCCAUCAAGUCACAAGCACUCGUGGAUUUUAUCAAUGAUUGGACAGAGUUGCAGACGCCUGAGGAGAAGCCGAAUAACACAUAUUGGACUAUCCACUUUGAUGGAUCCAGGCAGUUGGAAGGCUCAGGGGCUAGAGUUCUCUUGACUUCCCCACGAGGUGAUACAUUUUCUUAUGUUCUCCGGUUAAUGUUCCCUUGUACUAACAAUGCAACUGAGUAUGAGGCCUUGCUCCACGGUCUUCGGAUGGCUAAGGAGAUGAACUUAAGCCGGGUAAGGUGCUUUGGCGACUCAGAUCUGGUAGCUCAGCAAGUUUCUAACACUUGGGAUUCAAAGGAUCCACUCAUGGCGGCUUAUCGUCGAGAGGUUGAUGCCAUUGUGGGUCACUUCAAGGGUUACCAAGUUGAGCAUAUUGAUCGCAGGAAGAAUGAGGAGGCUGAUACUUUAAGACAGUGAGGGUCUCAACAUAAGCCGGUGCCACCUAACACUUUCCUGGAUAUUCUGCUUAACCCUUCUGUCAAAUUACCUACAGAGGAGGAUCCUGUUGUUCCUGACCCGAAAGCACAAUUGGUGGCGGCUCUUCAUACCGUUCCUGAUUGGACAGUUCCGUAUUUGGCUUACAUGACCUGGGGUGAGUUGCCUGAGGAUGAGAUUUUGGCCAGGCAGAUAACCCGACGAUCUAAGUCAAUGCCGAUUUUCAAUGGGGAGUUGCACCAUUGCAGUGUCACAUGGGCGUUUCAACAUUGCGUCUCUCCUGAAGAAGGCCGCGAGAUUCCGCAAGAGAUUCACGAAGGAGAUUGUGGUCAUCAUGCUGGCUCUAAAUCUCUCGUAGCCAAGGCUUUUCGUCAUGGGUUUUAUUGGUUGACGGCUCAUGCUGAUGUUGAGGACUUGGUCAGUAAAUGUGACGGUUGUCAGAAGUUUUCAUGACGAGCUCAUGUUCCGGCUCAAGAGUUGAGGAUGAUUCCAAUUACUUGGCCAUUUGUGACCUGGGGGCUUGAUAUGGUCGGGCCUUUCAAGAGGUCCAAAGAUAAGAAAACCCACCUUUUGGUGGCAGUUGAUUCGUUUACUAAGUGGGUUGAAGCAGAGCCGGUUAGCAAGUGUGACGCAGCAACAACGGUUCAAUUCAUCAAGAAGGUGAUCUUCCGUUUUGGCUUUCCCCACAGCAUUAUAACGGAUAAUGGCACUAAUCUAUCUAAGGGUGCUAUGAAAGAAUUUUGUCAACGAGAGCAUAUUCAACUUGAUGUUUCUUCCGUGGCUCACCCCAGUCUAAUGGUCAAGCGGAAUGAGUUAAUCAAGAGAUUCUACGAGGCAUCAAAACCUGGCUUAUGGUUCCUUUGCAAAGAACGCUGGGUUGUUGGGUGGAGGAGUUACCUUCAGUGUUAUGGAGUAUCAAUACAACCCCCAACAGAUCUACGGGCUACACACCUUUCUUCAUGGUUUAUGGAGCAGAGGCGAUUCUCCCUAGUGACAUCCGUCAUGAUUCGCCCCGUGUGGCGGCUUAUGUUGAAGCUAAUAAUGAAAUAACAUGUCAGAAUGCACUUGACCUGUUAGAUGAGGAGCGUGAUCUCGCGAUGGCUUGUUCAACGAUUUAUCAACAAGAUCUACGUUGUUAUCAUAGCCACCGGGUCAAAACGAGAACCUUUCAAGAAGGCGACUUGGUGCUCCGGCUUAUCCAGGAUCAAACUGGUAUGCAUAAAUUUUCCCCACCUUGGGAAGGACCUUUUGUGGUCAGCAAGAAUCUGCAUAAUGGGUCAUACUAUCUUAUCGACGUUCGAGGCCACAAGGACUCCCGCACAUCGGAGGAGGAGACCCGUCGACCGUGGAAUAUUGAUCAUCUUCGGCCCUACUAUACUUGAGCCACCGGCUCUCAUGAUGUACAUAGUUUGACGAUGUAUAUAUUAUAAACAGUAUAAUAAAGCCGGCAUCCCUGAUAAUUCAGGGCCUCCGUCGUUUCAUUGUUUUACCUGCUCAUUUAAGAUGCUUCAUGCCCAAAUUAUAGGGACCAAAGAGAGUUGGAUGCACAACACAGCUCAAACAUAGGUACUCGAUGAGCACAACUCACAAAUACGUCACUUGGGGGCUUCCUGUUCAAACAUAGGUGUAUUCACCAAAGAGAACAUAGCAUUAUUACCCUCUUGUCUGGGUUAUUUCAUUCAAACAUAGGUGUAUUCACCAAAGAGGACAUAACCCUUCCGGGUCAUUUUGCCUGUAUGCCAGCUGCUUCUUCAUGAGGUAAUCCUGAUUGACCCGCCGAACUCUUAACGAUCAAUCUUUUAAAAGGUGUAUUCACCAAAGAUCCUGAAUUUGUUAAGGUUAAAACACCGGUUUGUCAUGUGAGAGCAUGACUUACAGAUAGCCAGGAUAGACCCAGGCUCAUAGGCCGCCUUCUUUGAGACUUGGAUAAAUCGGCAUGUGAUGCACAAUGCUACUCCAACCCCACGUACUCCUGAUAAGUCUAUCUUUUAAUAAGACCUGCACUUAUCUGGGUUCAAAUGUCGAUUGGGUCAUGUGAGAGCCGGCUCAUAGAAAGCGCGGACCUUCUAGUGGCCAUUAGGCUAGUUUCAUUGAAGAAGAAACUUUGGCUCGUCGGCCUGCAAAAGCCUCAGAUUUUUUGAUUUUUGAUUUUGGCUUUAUAUCAUCUCUUUUUUCUUACCACAUGGUUUUUACAAAUCGGGCCAAGUUGCCCUAUUUAUGUCUCAUAUUUGAAGCAUCUUCGGGUCUUUGCAACCCGCCAGGAUGGCAUGCUCUAAGUCGCCAAAGAAUAAUAAUCUUAUGCUUAGAGUUAUGGCUCUGAAAGCUCUAACUGCAUGGAGUUGAUAAGCUAGCAGUUUACGUAAAUACCACAGGUAUGCUAUUAUAUUAUAUAAAAGUUGUGGUCAUAUCGGCCCUGGUUAUGGACUAUUUGUCCCCAAUGGUUUAAUUUGGGUAUUGUGACCCGCCCAGCGGUAAACCGCCAGGGCAAUUGUAAUUUACUUGUGUGCAGGGUAAUGAUAAAAUCUCAUCUGCAAAAUUGACGUUAUCAUAAGCAUAAAGUGAUACACUCUUCAAUGGCGGAUCAAACGGUGUGGCACAAAGCGGAAACGUACAUGAUGGCACAAUAGAUCAAAGCUUUACUAGGCUAUUACAUGACUCAGUGAGCCAAAAAGAUCAAGUGUUUUCCAAAGUUCAAGUAUUUGAACCGCCUAGCGGAUCAAUCUUCUUGGUCUUGGCGACUUGAAGCUUCUGGAUCAUCCUUUUCCGGUUCUUCGUCCUCCUCCAUCGUCUGGAAGUUUGGUGAUAACCAAUCAAUGCCACAUAAGGCAUGGAAUUCAACUUCAUCAUCAAUAAGAUUCAACGGGUCAACUUCAGGGGAAAAAGUGUGCUUACGAAUUGGAGGAAUCAGAUCCAUCACUUUAUAAGCCGACGUGGUUUUCUUUUGAUUUUUUGCGUCAUAAGUCGGCUGAUACUUUGACAGAUUUGUAUCUUCCGCAAUCAGAGUCACCAUAGGACGUAUUUCUUUCAUGCAGGCAGCAAAGUCCUUCUGAUCAAAAGUAGUACCAUCUUCCUUCAAACUUGGGUACCCAGUAGCUACCUCAUUCGGGUCUAGCUCUGGUACCCAUGCCUUAGCAUGGCUCAAGGCCAUCACGACACCGGCU
rnacentral:lncRNA from 1 species